GGGAAAGUGGGGUCACAUCAAGAAGAACAAUGUCGCUAACAUCUCCAGCCAGCACCCCUGCCUGAAAUUAAACAAAAUAAUAAAUAUGUGCUUCUUCCACAUUCAAUCAUAACUCAUAUUUCAAAAUGAUUGGAAGCAGCAUCUUAUAAGUCUACAGUCAAAUGAUCGAUAUUGCUAUAUGGACCAGACCCACCACCUUAGCAUAGAGCCCAUUUUUUAUCAAGGAUCAUAUAUUUAAUAUAUUGACUUUAUGUUCAUCAAUAUUGCUUUUCGAUCAAUAAACAAAUCACAAAGCUAUAAUGCUUGGGGACACAAUAAGAAAAAAAUGAUAUUAAAACCCAACCACCCUUAUUUUUAUGAUUUACCCAUAAUAAUAUAUACUGUGAUGUUGUAACAUGCAUUCCGCAAUCAAUAUUUCCCAGACAUAGUAAACAUACAAGGAAGACAAGUACAAAGAAGAAGCUUACAUGGUGUCUUUUCAGAAUCCAGGAACAAUGACGUGCCUGCUUCUAUAAAUCUUUAAAUGCAUAUAGAUAUAAGCACAUAUAGAGUCAGCCAAUUAGACAGAGUGCUCCCACAAUUCAGAAAGUUGGUAAUACCUUUCAUGAUGUAGCAUUGAGGUUGACAUGAAAUUCAGGAUCUACUCAGUUUAAAGAUUUAAGUGUCAAGCAUCAAGAAGCAUUAGUCCAAGUUAAAAAAUGUCAAGUUGAAAUCUGAAGUGAUGUUUAUUAGCAACAAAAUGCAUCAACAGAACUCAUAAUGUGAGUUGGACCUUAUACAAUUUUAACAUUUAAAAUAUUGCAUGUUUUUCAUACACACCGUAGAAGAAGACCUAAUUAUAUAUUGGGUUUCCACAUGUAUCAUUGUAUGGCUCCUCUGAGACUUUCAGAUGUGUGUAAGCCUACAAAUUGUAGCAGUGAUAACGGUACUAAAUCUUCUGGAUUGAAUGGCAUAUUAUAGUCUUAUAAUAAUUAAAACAAUAUUGUUACUGGGAACACAAAUAACAUCUUUAAAACAAUCAGUAUACACUUGCUACAUGUAACAUGGGAAUAUCACUUUCUUUGUUCCUUUCUUUUUUAAUUUUUUUGCCAAGUGCUAGAAAUAUGCCAUGCACCUAACAUUUGAGUAGAAAUCUGACAAGAAACUGCUGUCAUGUAGUUAACAGUGCAAUGAAAGAAGCUCCCCCCCCCCCCUCCUUUUUCAAUAGCAUAUUCGCUUGACUUAACAUUUUGAACAUCCUCAACAACUUUCACUUAGGAAUAUUGAACAUUACCACCAAUUCCAGUGUUUUAAAUAGCAGAUCCACUGGUCAUGGCAAUCGAUCGCUCAAUAAAAGGAUGUUCAUUAGUGAUGACAUUAAAAUUGUGGGUUGAAAUUGGAUUGCCCAUUACAAACAGAUAAUCAAGAGUCAUACUGCCCCCAUCUCUACAAGAAGAUGGAGGAAUGUUAAAAUAAUAAGCACAUAUAUCAAAGUGACUAACCUGUACUGCAGCUCCAAGAGCAACAACUUCAUCAGGAUUGACGGUAACAUUAGGAUCCUUUCCAGUCAUCUUCUUCACGAGUUCCUGGACAGCUGGGAUUCGAGUUGAACCACCCACCAGAAUAACUUCAUCUAGGUCCUUGAAUGAGAGUUUUGCAUCUCUCAAGGCAUUAUCUACAGGUCUUCUAAGCCUAAAAGACCAAUAAGAAACACGAGCAAUUGGUUGAUCAGAAUAGCAAAUAAAUGGUCAAAUAUAAGGCAUAAUAGAAACACAACAUUUAAAAGGCUGGAGGACCCAAUUUUGAUAGUGUCAAAUGGAUAUUUCGCACUGAUCACGCACUCAGGUGUCAGACUUUUAUGCAAGGAUCUAAAACCAUCCAAUCAACCCAUAUAUAAAUUUCAAACAACUUCGCACGAAAAUUUAGGCAGUAUAGAACAGUCCCUUUUUUUUUAUUAUCAGCCCAGAUUUUAAGUUGCAGGCAUAUAACCAUCAUAGAUCUUCACAUAGCAGAACUUUGUCAUCAAAGACCGCACAUAAAUGCAUCAACUGUCAGAAGGGCAUCAAUUAUGAAGAAUAUAGUCCAAUUGACCACUAUGUUCAACAGAACACGGUACUAAUAUAACAAACCAAUCCCUUUCUUUUUGUUGACCCAUAAGAAACUCAUCAACAUGACCAAAGAUGAAAUAUACCUGUCCAGAAGAUCUGAACACAACUCCUCAAACUUGGCUCUUGUUAGAGUUGCUUCAAUGUGCUUGGGACCAUCAGCAGUUGCGGUAAUAAAUGGCAAGCUACCAUAAAGCAGUAAAAACAAUCACUUAAAAACAUCAGGAAAAGUAAAACAAAAAACUGCCAAAGGUAUGAGAGAUCAUGAACAUGAAAAGUCACCUUAUAUUUGUCUGCGUCAAGGUUGAUAAUUCCAUCUUGGCCUUCUCUGCUGCCUCAGUGAGUCGCUGGAGGGCUUGCUUAUCUUUCAGAAGAUUAAUGCCUUCCUCUCUCUUAAAGCUUGCAGCCAGCCAAUCAACAAUUCUCUGCCCAAACACAUAUGAACAAGAGUUAGUUUAGGGAUAUUUGAACCAACUUUAUGUGCAUGUUCCCUAUUUUGGUGUAAAGUUGUGCAUAUGCAAGUCCAAAAAACAUAAGGCAGAACAUUAUUGUCCUCUUGUAUAUGAGGAGGUCAAGAACUGCUGUCAAGCACAUCUAUGUAACAUGAUGUGCAACAACAAGGCAUACACUAGCAAAGGGAUAAAGGAGACUGGGCACACGGCAUGCACAAAGAAAAAAAAUGACUUAAUGUUCGGCCUUUUGGAUGUCAUGAAAUUUUAACAUAUUGGUACCAAAGAUUGCAAGUUGUACAAAGAAUACAUUGUGCAUAACCAUUUCAUAGCAGUUUGAUCACAUAACAUAGUGAGAUAAUGUAAAGCUUUGCAUUCAGUGUGGAAAUCAAAAUAAUAACCUUAACAGUCAGCAUUCAGUCAGUCUCAAUAAGCCAUACUUAAAGGCAGUUAUCUUAAUUCACUGUGCAAAAAGUAGGUCCCAAUAUAGCAACCCAGACUUACUGUUUUGCUUCACAAAGCACAGUGGGGUAAUUGGAUGGCCUGCAUAUGGUAGCAUGUUCCAACAUAGAUUGAUACAAUGAAGGAAACCUACCAAUCCAUUUCGCACAGUCCUGUUUGCCCUCAAAUGUUAAGAUCAUUACAUUGCCACACACAGAAGUAUGGCACAAGGAGAAAGGCAACAGAACCAAAACAAACAAAGCUGGCCUGACAGUCAUGCACAAAAAUUGGCUAGGCUGCACACCACAAAAAACCAAGUCCACUAGCAGAACUAGAAACAAGUAUUAUAAUCUAUAACAUUCCAGCCUCACCCAAGAAUUUAAGUGCAGGUGGAAUGGGGCAUGCUAUCUGGCACAUGUGCCAUGCUGUGCCAAAAUUUGAAAGGCCCUUAUUUAAUUAAAAAUAUUUUAAAAGGUGCUCAUGAGUGAAGUGCCAACCCAUGCCAGGUGUUGGUGCUGGUCCAACACAUGAAACCAUGUAUUCAUCUCUCAAUUGCUAGGUAAUGAAAGAAACAUUCAAACAACCUUGUCAAAAUCAUCACCACCAAGGUGUGUGUCCCCAGAAGUUGAAAGGACUUCAAAAACACCAUCUCCAACCUCGAGAACUGCAACAGAUUGUAAUUAAAUCCAUUAUUGAAAGGGAAGAAUAAAAUAUCUGCUGUUAAAGCUACGAAUGAUCAUCUCAGAAAAAUAUGCAUUGCAAAACCAGUAUCUAAGAGUAAUAUGAAUAAUAUACAAAUUUGUCUGAUUCAUGAUAUGCAUGGGUUGUGUGGCAUUCAUGAUAAUACGUGUAUACAUGUUGUUGGUACCUGACACUUCCAGAUAAUAUUAGACAUUGCGGUAAAGUAUUAGAUCUCCAGUGGCUUGAGUAGGUCAUCAUGGAAUAUGGAAAGCUUGAUGGCAAUGAAGGUCAGGACAUGAUCACAUAUAAAGAAUGAUCCAGAAGGUAAAAUCUGAACCUACCACCUAAUAAAUGUGAAACGACUGAAGCGUCCAUAAGCUUGGCUGACCAUACUGAAAUCUAAUAGCAUUCACUUUAAUCAACUCAAUAAAUUUAUAAAUUUGUGUUUUAUAUUCUUAUGAUGCUAGGGUAUCAACAUACAUUGAAGUUGUCCAUGACAACCAUGGAACGAUUUCACUUGCACAAGGUUUAAUAUAAACAACAGAAGAAAAAUAAGUUAAGGAAAAUCAACAAAUUGGACUGUUUACGUUGUCCUUUUUCUUUCUCUCUUCCUAAAGUAAUAUUCAUUGUUAUUUCCAUUGCAUAUGCCUCUACAACCUUUAGGUGCGAACCCACAAUUUCAUUCAAUUCUUCAAAAUCCUUAAGCUGCAUAAAAAUUUCGUUUAUUAUCUUUUCCAAACUUUCACAACAUGAGAACAUUUCAACCAGUAAGAGUGUAAUACAUAUUUGUCUUGAAACAUGAAAAGCACAUAAGUCCAUAGAGUAUGUGGGGAAAUCUAUUUUGUUGAAGCAAUAAAGUUUUGAAUGGUUUCUAUACCUGAAACAUCGAAUGUACCACCUCCCAGAUCAAAUACUAGAAUGGUUUCAUUGUUCUUCUUUUCAAAUCCAUAUGCCAGUGAUGCGGCAGUAGGUUCAUUAAUGAUGCGAAGAACUUCUAGACCAGCAAUACGACCAGCAUCCUUAGUUGCUGUCCUUUGUGAGUCAUUAAAGUAUGCAGGAACUGUAACCACUGCUUUAGUAACCUUGUCAUUUAAAAACUUCGAUGCAUCGUCCACAAGUUUUCUCAAAACCUGAAAGCACGAGCAAAAACCAUUAAUCAUUGAUUAAGUAAUAAAUUAAUUCUGAAACAAGAGUUUUGCCGAAACUACUUUUCCAAAUACCAAAUCAGUUAAGGAGACAAAUAUCUGAAAACUAGCAGAGAUGAUGGUAUGCAUGUUUCACGUAAAAAUAAAAAUCUUAAGCUAAAAAGAAUGGAGAUAGUUAUCAACAAAACCAAUUCGAAACAAAAGGACAGGAAAGUUAAAUCCCGACUUCAGUGAAGCCAUGAUUUUUCAUACUAUCUGACAUAGAAGCAAACUCAUGUCACUGGAAGAAUAGCACAUAUCAUAUAUUCAAAGCUAAUCUCGGUUUAGAAUAUUACUUAUAGCAAGACUUUAUCAGUUUCCAUCUUUUCAAAAGCAACACAAGCAUAAAAUUAUCAUCAAAACCACAAAACAUAAAUGCAAUAAAGACUUACAAAUAAAUAACUGUGAAAGCAUGCGCUAGAAACCACAAAAGAUAAAAUUCAACAAAAAAAAGCUCUUAUUGCAGAUGAAAAAGGUUGCCGUACUACAUCAAUUUUCAUAUAACCUUUUCUUUAACACUAUAAACCAUGAAAGCUCGGAAAUUUUCUCGAACAAUUCAUUCGAGAUCAAAACCUUCAGAAAACAAACUAAAAUCAAAUAAAUUAAUUACAAUGCAUAAAAAUCUUGUCGGGAAACGACAAAAAGAAAGCUUGAGAGGAACCCUAACAAGAAUCAAAGAAAGUGACCUGGGCUGAGAUUUCCUCAGCUGCAAACUCCUUCCCGAUGACAGGGCACUCGAGUUUUACAUUCCCGUUCUCAUCCCUCAUGACCCGAUAAGAGACCUGCUUCGAUUCCUCAUCGACCUCUGCCAUCUUCCUCCCGAUGAACCGCUUCACCGAGAAGAACGUGUUCUCCGGGUUCACCACGGCCUGCCGCUUCGCGAUCUGCCCCACCAACCGGUCGCCGUUCUUCGUAUAAGCGACGACCGACGGCGUGGUCCUCUGCCCCUCGGCAUUAGUAACAAUCGUCGGCUUCCCUCCUUCCAUCGCCGCGACAGCCGAGUUCGUGGUCCCGAGGUCGAUCCCCACAACCUUCUCGGCCACCACCCGAAGGGGGCGGCCAAGGCCGCGUCUUUCCCUUCCCCCGCAACUCCGUGCUCGGAGAAUAGCUCCAUUGAGGGAACCCGAAGGGCGGUAGCCGAAGAAGAGGGAUCCCGAGGAGGAGAUUCGGGGAGAAGGCUUCCGGGACGAAGGAAAGGCGGCGGAGGAGCCGAGGGCGUGAAUCUGGGCGGACGAACACGCCAUUCUCGAUCAAAGAAGAGAAUUCAGACACUAGCCGGAAUAAAGAGAGCGGGUGGGAGGGGUGGAUUUGUUCUGCAGAUGGAGCGAAAACCCUAACCCUCAACCUAGCCGGCGGGACGCAAGAGUCGGAGGGAUAGGUGAAUGAUUAUAAGAUAAGCAUCUCCCAACCUUGACACGAUUUUAAUUACAUCAUUGUACUUAAAAAAAUAAAAUAGAUUAAAAAAAAUUAUCUAUUUAAAUUUAAAUUUAAAAAUAACCAUCUACUUGAAUUUUAAAUAAAAAUAAUAAUUUAUUUAAAAUAUAAAAAUAAUUAUCCAAGUAGGAAUGAAACGAUUCAAUUAUCUUUACAAUUAUAAAGUAAUACUACACUAUUAUAAAGUAAUACUAUACUAUUAUAAACUUAUACUACAUUAUUAUAAAAUAAUAUUAUAUUAUUAUAAAAUAAUACUAUAAUAAAAAAAUACUAUCCUAUGAUAAUAUAAUAUUAUUUUAUUAUAAAAAAUAUUAAUAUAUAUAUAUAUAUGUGUAUUUCUUCUUCUUCUUAUCUACAAUGUCUAAUUAAAAUAAUAGAAAUAUACUUAUAGAUAGACAUACAAAAGGAAAAUUUUGUAAAGUAUGCAUCCAAACAAUAACUUUUAUAAAAAAAUAUUCAAAACAAUUAUAUAUAUAUAUAUAUAUAUAUAUAUAUAAUUACUAUAACAAAAAUANNNNNNNNNNNNNNNNNNNNAACAAUAUAUAUAUAUAUAUAUAUAUAUAUAUAUAAAUUUACAUUCAAAAAAAUCGAUUAAAAAUUAGGAUAUAUGUUCAAAUAGCAAAAUUUAAUUAUAAUAAAAAUUAUUCAAUUACUCAUGGUUGAGGAACGUGACAAAAAAAAAUCAAUAUUAUUAUGUUGCAUGAUCCCAUUUGAUCUUAAUAUUUAUAAUUGAUUUAAAUUUAAUAUAUUUUAAUAUUUUAAAAUAAUGAAUAUAUAUAGAUGCUAGAGACUCAAUAAUCAUAAUUAGAUCAAAAUCAAAUAUGAGAAUAUAAUUACCGAAAUAAUUAUUUGAUGUUCCAACUCGAUUGAAUUUAAACCUUAAGUAAAAAUUGACAAUAUUAUUUAGCAUUUUUUUAUUUAUUAGUUCACUUAAGUAAUGAAAGAUUUGGCAAGUUUCAUUAGAGUUUUAAUCAUUUUUUAAUAGACUUUUUUUGAGUAUAUAUCCUCCUAAAUAUGUAAAAUUGCAUGAAUAAUCUCAUAAAAUUAUUAUUUAUGUAUAUAUCUUUAUAAAUUUUUUAUUUUGUAUAUCUAUCUAUAAGAAUAUUUUAGUCAUUUUAAUUUUAAAUUAUUUAUUUUUUAAUAAUAUUAGAUUGUAUGGAUAUAUAUAUCCAAAAUAAAAAAAAGUAAAAGAAGAUUAUAAAUGUAAAACAAGUAAGAGUGUGUGUAGUAUUAUUCAUACAAGUUCUCAUAUUUAGGAGGAUAUAUAUACAAAAAAAUCUUAAAAAAAGAUAUGGCAUUCUAUUUUUUUCUUGUUUUCAAAUCAUAUUUUUUAUUGAUAUAUACUAUAUGGUUAGAUGAUACACAUUAUUAUUUUAAAAAAAUCAAAAUAUAUCUCUAGAUAAAUUGAAAUAUAAUUUUCAAAACAUGGUAUUCACUGGUGUACAAUAUAUGCCCAGAUGAUAUACACUUAGCAAAUUAUCAUCCAAUAACCUAAUAUACAUCUUCAAAUAAAUUGAUACAUAGUUUUGAAAUAUCAUAUUCACCGAUACAUACCACAUAAAUAGGUGAUACACACUUGUGGACUUUAUAGUACAUACCGUAAAUUUUUUUUAUAUACAUCUAGCAGUCAUCCAAUACAUACAUUUAGAUAAAAAUUAUAUUCUGAAAUUAUGCAUCAAUUUAUCUGGAAGUAUAUAUUGAAUCAGCAGUAAUGUGUAUUAAAAAAGCUUGCAGAAUAUAUCAGAAAGUUAAUAAGUGUGUAUUACUUGGCCAUGUAGUGUGCACUGGUGAAUAUGAUGCUAUAGAAUUUUUGUAUCAUUUUGCUUAGAGAUGAAUAUUAGGUUGCUAAAUAACUAAUUUGCUAAAUAUAUAUCAUCUGGUCGUGUACGGUAUACUGAUGAACUUCAUAUUAUAAAAACUAUAUAUCGAUUUAUCUAGAUAUGUGUAUUAACUUAUCUGAUGAUUAAUUUGCUUGGUAUGUAUCACAAUAGUAUAUGUAGGUAAAAAGUAAGACGAGGAAAAAAUAGAAUAUCAUAUUUUUUAAAAAAAAUCAUAGGACUAAUGAUUUUAUUAGUAGAAGAAGUCUCUGACUUUUGAGCUUUUACUUUAAAAUAGAUAUCAGAGAAAAUAUGAUAAAAUAGCUUGCCAUAUAUUUUUUUCUCUAGCGCCCAUCCCAUAUAAUUUGUUUGAGAUAGGAGGACCAGUGGGGGUCUUUUGGUGUGUGCAUAUAAAUUUAUAAGCUAUCAUUGUGUUCGUUAUCAAAAUGAUGGCAUUUUGGGGGUAAUUUGACACUUGAUUUUGAUGCCAUGUAAUAUGAAUGGGUGGGAUUUAGUUAGGUGGAUUAUUGGAUGGUGGAUUGUUUUAGUGUUAAGACUUUUGUUUUAUUGCAUGGUAGAUUCUUCUAUUUUACUAUUUUAGUCUUUCUAAGGUUUAAGUAAUAUCAGACACAGUCUCAUCUUUCUUUUAUUAGGCGAUGGAAGGAGUAAAGCCAAGUUUCAAGCAUGAACUAGUCACCAAAUUAAGGAGAAGAAUUAGGAUAAUUGCUCAAAUUAUAUGAAGAAAAUAUAACUAAAUAAUUCUCAAAGAGUUUCUGACCAAAAUUAAAGCUAAGGUUCUAAAUUCUAUGAAAUAGAAAUGUCCUUUUGGGAUUCCUUGUAGAAUGAGAUGCUCUAUCUCGCUCCAUACAGAUAGCAACUCCAGUAAUUAGUAGAUGCAUGUGAGUAAAUAUGGGAUCAAUUGAACCUGCAAAAAAAUUUAAAAAUAUUAGACAUAUAUAUAUACUAGCAAGAAAAGUGAAAAUUAACCUACUAAUUUUAUAAAUUGACCCUACAUCUCAUGUAAACUUUUGAAGAAGUAAAGGACAAAAAAGAUUACAUUAAAAGAAUAAUUAUGAUAUACAUUCUCUCUUUAAUGAUCCAUAUGCCCUAUCUCUCUCUCCCUCUCUUCCUCUCUCAUACUAUUUUGACUUCUCUCCUUCUUUUUCUUUCUUUAUUGAUUACUUAUUUAUUUAUCUUUUAAUACUCUAUUCCAACCCAUUCAUCCACCUCUUAUAUUUAAAGCUCACAUUAAUUUAUUUUUUAGAGCACGAAUCCUUUAUUAUGCACUGCAUGAUGCGGUGGUGCACCAUCUGCACCAUCCAUCGCACGAUAGAUGGCUACGAACAGGUGGACUGUGUGAUGCAUACCACACAGCCAUAUACAGCCAUCCAUCGUGCGAUAGAUAGUGCAUACGAUGCACCAUACCAUGUGGUGUAUUAUGGGUACUGCAGAGAAUACGUCUUUUAUUUUUUUAUAUCCUAGAAGGAUCAUAUUAAAAAAUAAAAAAAUAAUUAUGACCUAUGUUCUUUCUUUCUUUAAUAAUUCACAUAUCCCAUCUCUUUUUUUCUCUCUCAUGCCACUUUGAUCUCUUCUCCUUUCUCUCAUUCUUUCAUUUUUUUUAUUCAUUACUUUUCUAUUUGUCUUUUAAUGCCCCAGACCACCCAUGGUCCCUAUCCAUUUAUCUCUUAUAUUUAAACCUUACAUUAAUUUAUUUUUUAUAUCCUAAUUAAUCCAAAUAUAAUUAAAAAUUACAUGUUCUUUUAGUCUCUCUUUUCAAUUUGAAUUAAAUAUGUCUCUUUUAGUUUUUUUAAUAAUAUUUUUUAUUUUUUUAUCUUUUUUUUACUAAUAUCAAAUAUAUAUGAUUAGAAUAAUUCUUGGUUAGCCUUUAUAAUUUUAAUAUUUAAUAAUAUUUAAGAUUUUGCUAUGGUGCUCCUUUAUACGAUUUUAUUAUAAAAGAUACUUAAUGUAUUACAUAUUAUCAUUUUUUAUAAAUUUUAUUAUUUUUUUUCUUCUCUUUCUAUGGCUUCGUUAUUUCUUUUAUUAUAUUGAUCCUAUAAAGUAAAAUUUCUGGAUCUACUACUGGCACCAGCCAUAUAUCUUGAUGAAUAUCCUCCAUCUCUCUCCUCUUCUUUAUUUCUUUUCUUUCUUUUUUCCUCCCUUUCUUUUUUUCUUUCCUUUCCUUAUCUUUUUCUUUUUCUUUUUUUUUCUUGUUAUUCUUCUUUCUCUUUCCUUACUUUCUUGUCCUUUCUUUCUUUCUUUCUUUUAGUUUUCUCUUCUCUUUUCCUUUCACUUUUUCUUUUUAUUAAUCUUUCCUUUCCUUUCUUUUCUUUUUCUUUUUCUCCCAUAGGUGGAUUUUAGAGUUCUGACACUAUUCUGAUUUUAUUUUCUCAUAGAAACAAGAUGGGAUAGCCGAUCCGCCCUCUAUUCCACUGGUAUGCAAAAUCUUGAUUAAAUCAUUUAAUACUUUACCAACUUUUUGCCAUUAAAAGCUUCAUUAGAUAAUGAUAGCUAUUAUUUCUAUUAUAUUACAGCUAUUAUAACAUAAAAAUGUUUGAUAAUGGCUGGUAUAAAAUGCUAUAAUCUAACUAAUACAUAUAGUGAUUUAUUUAAGAAUUAUUAUCGGAUAAGUAAUAGAAAUAUCAAAUGAUGUUCAUUUAUUUCCAUUGGAUAGUAGUUAUUAGGAUAAGAUAAUUAGGCUUAAGUGUAGUAGAAUAGUUUUUGGAAAAUAGCUUUGUAAUUUCCUUCUAGAAGGCCUAGAUAUUUAAGAGUAAUACUAAAGGCCGUUCUUUUGUAGAUAAAUAUCAUGAAAAAAUUGACCAACAUUUUCAUCGACUAAUUUACUCAUAUUUUUAUGCUUUUCAAAAUGGAUAAGUUACUUUGUAUGGAUAGCAUUUAUCCAUGAAAUGAAAAAAAGAUCUUAUCUGCCUAUAGAUGACUAAAUUAUUUUUUCAUCAAUCAAUAAAAUAUAUAUUUAAUUUUAUUUCUAAAAUAUUUCAUUCUCAUUUCUAAUGCCUUUAUCAUUCAACAUCUACUAACUCACAUCCAACUUUUUUCAAAACUAAAAGGUAUAAAGAGUACUAUGGGAAGUAUGAAUAAAUUUUAGCAACUUAUUUUGAAAAAUAAUAAUGCAAAAGGACAUGAAUAAUAGAUUUCAAAGCCACUUUUUUAUAUAUAAAAGAAUAUAGAUAAGUUAUUUUUCUAUCUAAAUAUUAUCUAAAAAAUAUUUAUUUAGAAAAAUAUAGAUUCUCAGAUAAUUUUUUUAUCCAUAAAAGAAUGGACUCUAAAGGAUAUUUGAUUUGUACAAAUAAGGUUUUUCUUAUCAAGUGGCCUGGGGGAAUUGUUGUGAAUUGCGAAAAUUGGUGCAUUAUAUGAACGCGAUUCAAUAUCAAUUUGGAAAGACAUCAUGAUAUAUGCUUGAAAAAAUUUUGUUCUCCACGAAGGAUUGCCACAAAAUAUUUUGCAAGAUUAAAAGACAACUACACAAAUAUCUAAGAAUUAUACAUCAAAAUUAUUAGGGAAAAAAAAAAGAGGAACACUAAACAUUCUAGCAAGCUAGAUGCUUAUUUUCCUUUUCCAUGGUCUCUUUUCUAAAUAUUGCUAAAGUUGUGGCACUAUAAGUUUUUUUCCAUUUGCAAUUAUAUUUUUAUUAUUAAUUGUAAAAGAUCAUACUUUUAAUGGGAGCAUUAUGAGCUAAGGGCAUACUUUUGUUUUGGUAUGUGGACUAAGCAUGGGUAACUAAGUGUUUUUUUUUUUUUCGCAUCAGCCAUGAUAAGGAGAUUCAAGGCCAAUGUAAACUCUACUCCCUAAAACAUGGCAUCUUGUACAACAUUUUCAAGAUAGUCCAUCACGAUUUGCUUCACAAAACAUGUGAUGAAAAAGGAAAUUUAUUAGAAUCUUUUUGAUGGAUGUAAUAUUUUUUGGAGCCCAUUUAUUUAUUAAACAAGUUAGAUCCACAUCUGCACCAGAUCUACCUAUUAAAUGAUUAACCCAACCGGACCUGUGCAACAUGUUUCACAAAUAAAUCCGAUCAAAUAGGUUUAGCACAUCUUAAAUAAAUUAAGUAGAUUUUAAACAUGUUAAAUAUGGCUUAAAUGCAUAGACCAUGACCCGAUAAACAUGCCAAAUGACGUUAAAGAGGUCCAAAAUUUCAACCUAAAAUCAACCUAUUUAAUCACCGAAUCUAGGCAUAUCAAUCUUUUCAUGACCAAACCAAUUUCAUAUCAAAUUCAGACUUAUUUUAAGAAGGUUGAUAACGAAUUGGAAUAGCGGGUUAAAUUGCCACCCCCAGUUAAAACUAACCAUAAAAACAAAACUAGCUAAAAGUAAAAGAAAAAGAAAGGACGCUUUGACAGCCCUCAACAUUGCCACGUAGCAGAUUCAUAGAAUCUCCUGUCCACCCUCGAUUCCUUCGGAUCCGUAUCCAGAUCUGCACAACCUUGACGUUAAAACCAACCAUAAAUGCAAAAGUUGCCAAAAGCGAAAGAAAAGGACUCUUUUUUAUUUAUUUUGGAUACAAAAGAAAAAGACUCCUCGCCUUCCUCGUUGUAUAGUUUUUUCGGUAAGAUUUUUUAUAUAUAGCAAUACAGAUGUAGAUGAGGGAUCCUUUGUUUUAUAUACUCUCUUGGUGGUGCCAAAGCUAUUUUGGUGUUUGGUUUCUCGUUGUCUUGUGGAACCAGGCUCGAUGGAUGCGGGGGUACGCGAUAAGCCGCAGGAAGCGAAGGAGAAGUCCAUCGACGAUUGGCUUCCGAUCACGUCUUCCCGGAAUGCCAAGUGGUGGUAUUCGGCGUUCCACAAUGUCACCGCCAUGGUCGGCGCCGGUGUCCUCAGCCUGCCGUAUGCUAUGUCGGAACUUGGAUGGUAGGAAGGAGAGAAGAAACUCUGUUCUUGAAAUCAUAGUUUUGAAGGUUUGGUGUUUGAUGGUUGUUAUUAGCGUGACUGUGUUUUGAUUUUGGUUAGAUGAUUUUAUUUUGUGCGAUAUUUUUUCUUUUUUAUUAAGUUUUUGGGCAGGAUCGAUCUGUUUCAGAUAAUGGAAUGAUGUUCUCAAACUAGUACCUGUUUGAUUGUUUCAGAAUCUGUUUAAAAUAAAAAUAGUUUCUGUUCUUUUUGUUAAAAUAUUUGAUUGUAGAUUUCAUUAAAAAAAGUGUUUCUAGAUUUUGGGCUAAUAACUCAAUUUUCUAUGUUGCGAUAAAAAAAAAAAAUGGUUUCUUUUCCUUUUAUAGUAGUGAAUAUUGAAAAAGUUAUACUAUUUGCGUUUACGUAUUAUUUCCUUUUUUUGGGGCUACAGAUAUAUUAUCCUAAGACCAUGCCUUUCUAGAAGAAUAAACUUUUCCUUGAUAUACUCAUCUUGUAUUUGUAUAUAUAUCUCUGUAAUUUUGAUCCAAUGAAUUUUUGGUGUGCAAAACUUUGCUUCCCUUUCCAUCAAAAAAAAAAAAACUUUCCUUGAUAUCCUAGAAUACAAAAUAAUGCUUUCCAAAAAAAGAAAUCUAUUUUUCAGCGGAAUCUAAUUCUUGCCUUGUAUUAAAAUAGGUCUUGCUGCCAGCUUAGAAUUUUUGUUUAUUUCGCUAGCAUGUUAAUAUUCACCUUCUAUUUUUGCCUAAUUUGUAAGGUAAUUAGUCAUGACCUAUCUGUUAAUUAGAGAACAAAUCUGCUAAAUCUCUUUGUUGAAUUUAAAGUUAGAGAAAAGCUUAAUCCUUAUUAAUCAUAUAAAAUAUAUUUAUGACAUAAGUUGGUUAAGUUAUAAAAGUGCAUUUACAUUUGGAGGAUCUCUUAAUACUCAUAUUUGUUCUUACUUAACUCAGUAGAUGGAUCCUAUAUGAAAUGGUGUAUUAAGGAUCUUAUAAUAAUAUUGAUAUUUGUUCUUAACUGAUGGAUGAAUGAAAUAAAAAAAGAAACCGUCUAUUGGUUUGCUGUGAAAGAUUAAUGGCUUGUCCUCCUAAUGUGCAAUUGAGCAGGGGACCAGGCACUGUAGUCCUAAUCCUAUCAUGGAUCAUCACCUUAUAUACUCUCUGGCAAAUGGUAGAGAUGCACGAGAUGGUACCUGGAAAGCGAUUCGAUCGAUACCAUGAGCUUGGGCAGCAUGCCUUUGGAGACAAGCUUGGUCUUUGGAUUGUGGUGCCUCAGCAGCUUAUCGUGGAGGUUGGCGUGAACAUCGUCUACAUGGUCACAGGAGGAAAAUCUCUAAAGAAGUUCCAUGAUGUUGUCUGCCCUGAUUGCAAGAACAUCAAACUCACCUAUUUCAUCAUGAUCUUUGCCUCGCUGCACUUUGUUCUCUCCCAACUGCCCAACUUCAACUCAAUUUCGGGUGUCUCCUUGGCAGCUGCUGUCAUGUCCCUCAGGCACAUACUCUUCUCUAUGAUGCUAAAGCGCCUGACUUUUCUCUCUAACUCUAUAUUAUUACAUGUUUGGUAACAUUCCUUUAGAAAUCAUUAGUGGCAGUAGCUUUAUUAAAAGUGAUUGAAAUAAUGUGAGUUUACUUGUUCUCUGUCUGUUCUUCUGAUAGUAAUAAAGCGUGUGUUUUUGUAUGCUAAAAGGACAAAUUAUUAUGUGCUUUUCCAUAUUUCUAGAGAAGACUACAAAGGUAUUUGUUUGUCUUUUGAAACUUUAAAAUUUCUCUUAUUGAGUAGAAAUUUCAAAUUUCAUGACACUUUGCCUUCUUUUUGGCUUUGCGAAUAUAUAUUCCUACAAAUUCCUGAUGUAAAUUUUCGUGUAAUUUGAAGUCAAGAAGCCUAAGAUUUUAUAUGUUUGGAAAUAAAAUAAAAAAAAUAUAGAAGUACAGCCUAAAGGAGUAUUUGCUUCAACAUUUGAGGUUUAUCAGCUUUCCACUGAAAACAAUUGAGAAAUAAAUCAUGAAUGAGUAAAAUUUUUUUAGAUUUCUCAAAGCUUUGAUAUCUUGUUUUUUUUUUUUUUUAAUGUGGAAUUAUUAUCUAAAACUCAAUUGCUCUCUGUGACUUAUUCAUUAAUUCUUAUCAGUUACUCCACCAUUGCUUGGGGAGCUUCUGCCGCCAAAGGGAAGCAAGAACAUGUGGAGUAUGGUUACAAAGCUUCAAGCACGGCAGGGACUUUCUUCAACUUCCUCAGUGCGCUUGGAGACGUUGCUUUCGCAUAUGCUGGGCACAAUGUUGUCUUGGAGAUCCAGGCAACUAUACCUUCCACUCCCGAGAAGCCAUCAAAGAAGCCUAUGUGGAAGGGUGUCGUUGUUGCCUACAUUGUUGUUGCCAUUUGCUACUUUCCUGUUGCUCUGAUUGGGUACUGGGUCUUUGGCAAUGUAGUCGACGACAACAUCCUCAUUACCCUGGAAAAGCCAAGGUGGCUGAUUGCCAUGGCCAACAUGAUGGUUGUUGUCCAUGUCAUUGGGAGCUAUCAGGUAUAUGGCUUCUUGCAAUCGAUAUUCUGAAAACUUCAGUCACAUUUAACAAUCCAGGAAACUUGACUUCGAUCGGAUGUAAAUUGUAAUAUUUUCAAACAUUCCAUGAAACAAUCAAAAAAAAAAAUGUUUGACACUUCAAGAUGGAAUAUGUGCAAAUAUUGUCUUCAUAAGGGAAUCAAAUGAGUGGUAUCAUAAUAAAUUUGAGAAACAAUUCUGUAAUUCAUACAUUUCACAAAGAAAGAAAAAUGAAAAAGGAGACAGUGCUUUAAUUUAUUUCGAUGUUAACAUGAUCUUUUCAUGAUAAAGAUCACUGUGAUUCUCAGGAAGAAGUGUUAGUAUGUCACUUACAACUCUAACUGAUUGCCCUUAUAUUGAGUAAAAUUACGAAGGAAACAAGUGAAAAUUAUUUUCAGCACACUGAUAGCAAUAAAUUGAACACGUUCUGAUCAGUGAUUAUAAAUAUUUUCAUUUUUUUUUAAAAAAUGAUGUCUUAUUAUUCAUUGUACAAUGCUUUGUCAAAAUAGAUCCAAAACAACAGUCGGCAAAAAUGGUUGCAUCUAUAUAUAUAUAUAUAUCUUUUAGUGAUUCUUUCAUGAUUCCGGCAACAAUGCUUGAUUCCCUUGAAUUUUAUUUUUGAUAAUCACCUCUUCAUUUUUCUCUCAUAACCUGAACUGUUCAGUAGGGAUAUGCAGAGAUAAAAGCGUAUCAUGUGUACAUUUCUCUCUCGUUCCUUUCAUGACAGUAGUUAGUAGUCUGACUUUUUCUCGAAUUGCUAAUGCAGAUUUAUGCCAUGCCAGUGUUUGACAUGAUAGAAACUGUACUGGUGAAGAAACUCCAUUUUCCUCCGGGUCUUAUGCUUCGAUUAAUUGCUCGAUCUGUAUAUGUUGGUAAUGACCCUCUCCUUUAGGCCAAUACAUAUGUACAUCAUUUUUUUUGUGACAUAUAAGUUUACUGAUUUAUUAUUAUCAUUACACAUCAUGCCCAGCAUUUACAAUGUUUGUUGCUAUAAGCUUCCCUUUCUUUGGUGGGCUACUUGGAUUCUUUGGAGGAUUUGCAUUUGCCCCGACUACAUACUUCGUAAGCCCCUAAAACCUAAGAUCAUUCUUGAAACAGGACAUACUUUUUUCAUGAACAUUGAGAUGCUAAGGGAACAUAAGUAGUGUUUCAAAUGCAGAAGCUGUCGUUAAGUUUUUAAUUUCCAUUAGCGCAGUAGAAGUACUGAUUCUGAUCUAAAAUCUUUUUGCACAGCUUCCCUGCAUCAUGUGGCUUGCCAUCUACAAGCCUAGACCGGGUAGUUUAUCUUGGAUCACUAAUUGGGUAAGCCUGCUCACUCUAGGUGGUUUCAUUUUACCUGCUUUAUGGUCAUCAAGCUAAUCCGAUUUUGUUUUCAUGUGCUUCAGUUCUGCAUCAUAAUUGGUGUGCUAUUGAUGAUUUUAUCACCCAUUGGUGGACUAAGGCAAAUCAUAAUCCAAGCAAAGAAUUAUCAAUUUUUCUCAUAAACUGCCAGUCAAGAAUAUUAAGGAAACGACAAGGGAACAAUUUGAAGUCAGGUGAUGGAAAUGACGAAAUGUUCAUUCAUGUUACUAAGAUCAUUUUAUUUGAUGAUAGGGCAGGGUAGCCUGAUAUGUUUGAAAAAUAAAUAGCGUCAGCUUGGAAUUAGAUGGAUGUUGAUGUCUCAAAGAUACAUCCUUUUAGCUGUUCCUUCUGUGUUAAAGAUUAUUACUAUGUUUAUUAUUCAUAUAUACUAGUAAAUGCCAUGGACCAUAAGGCUUUUCAUGAUCAAGUUCUUUAAGUGAGAAGCUUAUUCUAGACUGCAUUAUUUGCCAGUAAUUUUUUUUUAAAGGAUGGGCCUGCCGUUGAAAAGAAAAGUGGGCUGCAUAAAUAAAUGAGGAACCACUCGACAAGGAUCUUAUAAAAUGGAUUUGUUUGCUGUGACAAUGUAGGCCUCAAUGACUUGUAGAGUCGAUUGUCUUUUGUUUUUCAACGAGAAGACUUCUAUUAGUCAAAAUAGAAUAUAGAAGGAUGCAAACUUAUCAUUGUCUUAAUAAUCAUGAGGGUUGAACCGUUCAGUAUUUUGAAUCCAUGACCUCCAGAUCACGGUGGAGCAAUCUUACCAUUGCACCAAGGUUCCCUCUCUAAGAAAAUGAAGGCUGUGAAUAUAUUAAAUUAUCUUAGCUUGGUACCCAUAUUAAAUUGCAAUAUUUCCCUCCAGCAUUUGUUUUGGUCUGAGGUUCUUGAUGAAUCAUGGCAAUAUUCAAAUAAGCCAUGAACCAACCAGCAGAAUUUCGUACAGAGAUAAAGGUGCCGCCAAUGGUACUGAAUCAAUUCAUUUUUUUCCUUAGCAUCUAAGGCUUGACAUCUCAUCUGUGAAAAAGUAAUAGCAUCAAGAGACAAGAACCCAAGAUUCUCUAUGAAAUGAGGAAGUUGAAGAAGAAUAUAUAUUAAUUGAGACACAUAUUCGAUGCUAUCUUUGAGAAAGAAGCAUAAGCCUCAUGAUGUUGUGUUCUGAUUGAGAUCUUCAAAGAGCUCGAGAUGAUAAGAAAAUGCCUCAAAAGCCACUUUGCAGCACCUUUCGCAACAACCCAUGCACAUAGCACAUCUAGGCUAUUCCAAUUACAACGCAAGAUAGGCAGCUCAGUGGUGCACACAGACAGUAACAAUUAAAAAAAAAAAAUCAAAUAGGAAAAAUAAUAUAUUUAUAAAAAGCAAUGGAUUGGACUGGUAGCAAGGACAUAUUUACAUGUCUAUGGAUGUACAACAUGCAUUUUUUGUGUUGUUGCAUCUAUGCUUGUGGAUUUUAACUCAAAGCACCUAUAACCCCUCCAAGAGGAGGGAGAGCUACAGGAUGAGUGGUCUUCAUAAGCAGUUUGCGAUGAAGGAACAGCCAACUACAUAAUUUCACCAUAAACAGCCCACAGUACAACAAUUCUUUCAAAAUUUUGGAACAUGGAUAAUAAACUUUGAAAAUGCUUAAUUUCGAUAACUUGCAUCAUAAAACUAAAUACAAUCAGAUUUCUAAUAUUGUCUACUCAUGAAAUGUCAUAUUUCUAUUCAAGUGAAUGUGACUUUCUCCCUGUGCUCCUCUUGUUUAAAAUCUGGGACAGCUUUCUGGUGAUGAUGCAUUGAUGAAUACCACAUCUGAAACUUCUUCCCUUAAAGGAUUCCAAGGAGCAAAUGAGUUAUGCAUGUCCCAUAAAAAUAUUAAGCUACAUGGCAUUUCUUUUUGGACCAAUGUUGCUAUCAGUAGUUUCUUUAUGAAAGAGGUUGGUAAACUAGGCAAUAGAGCUACCAUCAGAAAAAAAUGGAAUAGAGCAGCGGGGCACACUAUCUCCAAUUAGAUAAGUGUUUUUUUAAGCAUUUAAUGGGGAUAAUUUGUCCAUUAUUUUUGCAAAGAUGAAUGGUGAUGCAUUCACCCUUAUGUUAGAAGUAGUUGAUAUGUAGAGCUUUUAAUGUAAUGGUUUUUCUCCGGAUAUUCUUUUUCUCUCCCUUCAGUAAGUAAAUAGUGAGUAGAGAUUGCCACCAUUUGAUCAAGGUUAUGAACUGAUGAGGGAAAAAAGCAAUCGCAAAAAGUUACUCGGAAAGAUAGAACUCAAUCACAAUAGACAAAAAAACUAAAAGCCAUAUAACAAGAGGCCUCUUAAGACAUGAGCAGCUCACCAAAAAAGUAAAAACAAAUAAAGAAGAGGGUCAACAAAAGAAGAUCAAUGUAAACAAAAAGGACUGGCCAAGAGUAGAAGAGGGAGGACUGGUGGCAACAUGGGCAUAGCAAUAGUCUACCAAACAACAAGGGGAAAAACCAAAAGAAAGUUGUCAUUCCAGAGGUAGAAAACCCUAAUCACAUGACCCAUGCACGACCUCCCCUCAGUAGGGUCCAUAAGUGCACGAGCUACCAAACCACAUUAUGCUUAAAGACAAUCUAAAGUAACAUUAGUAUGGAUUCAUAUAUCUAUUUGAAUUCAUAUCAAGAUGACCCAUAAGAAAUCUUUUUUGGCAAGUUCAAAAUAAAUGACCACCAUGUCAUUAAAUUAGCAAAAUCCAAAAUUACGUGCCACUAUUUUAUUAAACUAGAAAAACCUAAAACGCACCAGCCACCAUGUAGUUAAACUGAAAAAAUCCAAUACCUUACCAUUAAACUAGACAAACCCAAAAUGAUCAUUACCGUGUUGCUAUGCUAGACAAGUACAAAAUUAAAUGAGCACCAUGUUGUUAAAAUAUAUUGAGUUUGAAAAAAAUAUGCUAUGCCAUGAUUCCUUGGGAUGCAUCCUAUGGUUUGUUGGCUAAUUGCCAGCUCGAAAGACCUCUGGUGACUUCCCACGGUGUGAAUCAGUGGUAGACCGCGCAAACUCAAAGCGCCUGGGAACUUUUACUGAUGAUUUAAUUAUAAUAGUAAGAUCAUUAGUGUGAAUCCAGGAUUAAGAGGAGCCAAGCUUUCCUAUAACGUUACAGCAGGGCACACCGCUAUAAAACCUUAACAUAAAUCAUAAAAAUACAAUCUGGGUAGCUAGAGCACUGUAGGCAAGGUAGUUAUGUCAAAAUGUGUCAUUGCUGAGGAGAACAUGACAAAGUUGCACACAAAGCAAAAGCAGACAUCUCAUCACCUUCUCCCAGUCCAUGAGGGAAAAGAAACCUGUAAGAGGAUAGCCGAGGUAGCUACAACCUGCUCAUUGUUCCAUCUGUUGUUUAUUGAACAGUUCUACUCUCCUGUUCAACAAUGGCUCGUUACCGUUCAGUUAUUUCACAUUCAUUUAUUUCCUACACUCAAGAGGAGGAUUUUCCAUUUCCCCUGGAAUCACCAAAUUCUCAACCUCACGCAGUUUUCGCAACAGAAAGGAGGAAUGCAGGAACAGAAUCAAAAAAUAAACAAAUUGGAGCCAAAAACACAGCCAGAGAUAUUUAUAAGAACCAUAGCAUCCAUGUGCAAGGACCACAGCAAUAAGAAUGAAGGAACUUUGUUGAAUCUAUCAGCUGUCUUUGUACAGUUAUGGGAGCAAAAGCAAAAAAAAUGUAUGUAUCAACAACAAUGUACAAAACCUCCUACAGCUCCCACAUUGUAACAGGCCACAUGGAAUACAUCUGAUGUCACAAUUCAGCAUAUAAAUAUCACCUAUUUUGAAUCAGCAGCACAAGUGUCAGACUGGGCUACAAUCAAUCACCAAUUUCCACUGAUGGGCGAUGGCGUCCUACUGCAACUAGUUCAUACUUAUAGCUAGCAUAGAGCAUGCAAGCUUCCCGAUGGGACCAACCUGCUUCUCAACUCCAAAACUGAAGGUCACUAAAAUUACAAGCAAGAAACCAAUGUAGCACGUCCUCAGUAGCCUGCUCAGCAACAAAACCAUGACAAUCUUGUAUGUGGUUGGCUUAGACCCCCCCAAAAAAAAACCCAUAUUCAUGAUGAAUUUGGGCCCAGUCUGCCGCAUCAGCAGAAUACUGUGGUGAUUACUCAGUCCAUGGGCGCAUAUGUAGUUGGAAGACAUGAAAACGGUCAAUCAAUUUCUCCUUCCUCGACAUCAUUAACAGGUAUAGUCCUUGCCUCACCAUCUUCCUCCUCUUCAUCAUCAACUUUUAUGUACAACCCAAGUUGUUCUAAAGGGUUAGUGCCUCCCAGUUUAAUACAGCCCAUACCCUCCUGUGAGAGAGUAGGGCUUGACUCACCAACAGAACUAGGUACAUGCUCAGCUGGAACGGUGCUAAGCAUCUCUAGAUCUUUUAGAAAUAGAUUGUUCUCAUUGAUCUCUGCAGUCUUCUCCAUCUGCAUGAUGCAUAGAAUGUCCACCAUCAAAUAAAAGAUUAGAAUAAAAAAGAAAAGCUAUUAUGAUGUGCCUGAAAACAAAGUUUUACAUGCCUGAAGCAAGGCUUGACGUGCUGCUUCUCUCUCGAGUUCACGUUUGCGCUUAGCUUCUGCUGCAGCUUCUGCUUCGGCUUGCUUUCGAGCUUCUUCGGCAGCCUUUGCUUCUGCUUGCAGCCGAGCUUUCUCUGUUCUCAUAUGAUUGUAAGUAAACCAUUCACAACAUGACAUGAAAGAAAAAUUCAACAAAACAAAAUGUAUCUGUCUCAUUGGCUCUUACCUUCCCUUUUUUGCCUCUCAAGCUCCUCCCUCUCCAGCCGAAGCUUCUCCGGAUCCCUCUUCUCACCCUAAUCUCAGAUAAAUGACUCCACAUGGUAAAACUCUUCAGGAGUAUACCAAACAACAAGAAGUGACAUGACAAAAAUUUAGUCACUCUUCUAACCACUUCUAACCAACCUGGUCAAGUGUCUUCUCACGAGCUUUGAGGAUUGUAUCAGCAAAGCGACUUCUCAAUAAAGCUGCUCGAUAGAGCUUUUCAGGGGAGACUUGCCUCUGACAUGGAGCAUUCUCCCCUAAAAUUUUCAUAAUGAAAAGGUGAGGGGAUCCAUGCAUAGCAUAUGCUUAAGAUCCUUGAAGUUUCACAGUAUUCCUCUUGGAAAUUCAUUCUUACCCUCUUGGUGGCUAUUUGCCUCGACAGAUGCAGGCACAGAAUGCACAUCCUGUUCAAGUUGAUGUAGCCUAUCAGAAGAUCCUGUAAAUUGCCAACAGUGCAUGCAUUCAGACAACAGAAUGAUGAAAGAAUGUGAUAGUAUCAAUCUCUAGAUACAAGAAAAUUUAUAAGCAUAACCAUUUACACUGGGUGAAAGGUGACAUCUCAAUAACUUACCACUUGCAUCUAGUGGGUUUAAGAUAUCACUUUUUUCUUGGUCCAAAGCUGCCCCAUAUUGUACAUUUUCCUACAUCAACAUGAUUAAAGAGUAAGAAAAAUGCUCUGAACAUGCAAGUAGAAAGAGAUUUAACAAAAUAUGUUUCAUAUUGAUAACAAUAUCAAAUAGAAAUGGAAUGAUAAGGCUACAAGUGCUGAUGAUCUCAAGCAUCAGCUCUUGCAGUGAUUUCAAAUGCUAAAAUACCUUGAUAACCUUUGUAGGACUAACAAUUUUUAUAUGUGAUUCACUUCCUGAGGAGCUACCAGUGUCUGAAUCUACAGAAGGAUCAAAAGACUAGAAUCACAAAGUAUAUUUUGCAAGAACAAAUUUUUAAGCAUCUACACAUACCAGGCACCAAUAUUAAUAACAAAAUAAAACAAGAAAAGACCUCUGACAUGCAACAUAAAGUGUGCUAUGGAGUGUUUAUUAAAGAGUGAUGCAGAUUUAACGUAGUUAAAUCAGGAAUUUACACUAGAUGGAUGGUCCCCUUAUCAAAGGAUACAUCUGCAAAUCCUUUGAAAUAAAAGAAAUAGGUUUUCUCUCCCAUCAAUGAUCAUGAAGCAAAAUACAGAUAGAUAAAAAACAAAACAUGAGAACCAAUAGCGCAAAAUCAUUAGAACUUUCAUGGCAGGAGUAAUAGGAUGGACUAGUUAUCUGAAAAUUUCAAUUUUCUCAGCAACCUAUAGCUUCACCUAGCUCUUGCAGCAGUUUAAUCUAAAAAUAGUAGAGUUCUCAUACCCUUCCUACUUUACAUGUAUAGCACAAAGUUCUGAUAUUCUGAAAAAAAUUCUCAUGGUAGUUGAUGCUCACCAGUUUUAGAAGAUUAACUUAAAAAAGUUUCAAGCGCUAGUCCUUCCAUGCUGAUUAAAAAUAUGCUCCGCACCAGCAAGUCUGUACAGUUGUCUCAACGACCCUAGCCCAUAUUGCUGCAUAUUGACCAGUGCCUAAGUGUAUUCCUUUGAUGCACACAUCAUAGGCCAAGACAGAGUUGUGCAGACCUGAAGCCUACCUUCCUAUUUCAAAAACAUGUUUUACAAUCCCAAAUAACCCUAACACCGAGAAUUAAAGAAACUAUACUUUUAAGGGACAACAUGUAUAGGAUCUUUAAUCCUCUAAGGAGACAUCUUAGGGGGAUAGGGACCAUAAGAGAGAGCCUCUAGAUGACUGGGAUGAAAUCCACAAAAGACAACCAAUCACAACUUUUAAAGGGCCACAUGUAUUUCACUUAGGGGCCAUUUGGAGCCCUAUGGUUAAAGUUGCAUUGCAAAUUAAGCCACAGUAGUUGACUUACAAAGAAGCUCACUUCUUGUGUUCCAAGUAUAUGGGAAAAGAGAGGCAACUUUGAUAGACAUUCCAUCAAACAUCUUGUGAGUGGAUGUCUAGUCAGAGCACUUGAUGUACGUGGAGAUGAGGGUGUUCUGGAUGAACUGAUUGACAUCGAAGCUGUCGAUGGCGAGGGCCUAGGUGGGACCUGGGUGCCCAUGGGGAGGGAGCGAUGGUGAUACAAGCUUUGAAGAGGGCAAAGAAGGUGAAGGAGAGGGGCAUAUGGGGUGGGUAGCGGUGGUGAAGGAGGCAGAGUGAGGGAAGGCAACAUAGUAAAGUUUGAAGCGGAGGAGGUGGCUGUGGGCCUCCAAGACAUGACAGAGGCAGGCGAUGGCAUUGAGGAUGGCAACAAAGGGGGAAUUGAGAGCAGGGUAAUGGAGGAGCCGAGGAGAUGGGAAGGGGAGGAGGAGAGGCCUGCUGCAUUGAAGUUCAAGGCGGCCAUGGGCAUCCUGUAGGUGGUGGAGGCCAACAACAGCAUUGAGGUUGGCAACAAGGAAGGACUAGAGAGCAACGCCAGGAAGAAGAGAGAAGGAAGAGAAAGGGCCUACUACGAUGAAGUCCGAGGCAGAGGGGCCAUGGGCAUCUAGGAGGUGACGAGGGCCAAUGGUGGCAUCUAGGGCGAUAGCAAGGGACUAAAAAAUGAGGCAUGGGAAGAGAGGGAAGGGAAGGAGGAGGAUUUGAAUUUACUUUAACGAAGAUCCUACUUGAGCUGCGGCAACUUUCCUGUGGCCAUUUCAACCACAAGUCAACCUACUGCAAAAUAGCCCUGAGUUGCAGCACAACAAGCAACUCAACUGACUAUGCAAUUUGAGUUGCAAGCAUCCAAAGAAGCAGGAUGGCCUCCACCUGCAACUUAAGAUGCAUACAGCCCCUUAGGGAAAUUCACUGUAUAUUCUACAUGAGGUUCAUUAUCCUCAAUAUCUAAUUAUCGAAGUCAUAUCCAGCAAUCCACCAACAUAUAUAACAAGCAUGUCAUUACUAGCAGAUGCAUCCAGACACCCUGUAGCCUAGAACCCCAGUCACGGCCACGUCUCCAUGACAACCUCAUGCAGUACGUGUUGCAGUACUUGUGGUGGCAAUGUUAAUUGUGCCCCCAAUGAUGCCAAAAAAGUAUACAGGUUACAUUAGCCAGUAUCAAGACUAGCAUCAUAAAUAUAUAAAGUUCCAACAGUACAUUGAAAUAUGCACAACAUAUGUUAUAUACGAGCUAAUGAGUACAUAGAGUAAUGCUCACUACAACUAUACCAUAAUCAUAGUCUUAAGCUUGUAAGAAUUCUUAACCUCAAAUUAUAGUAGUUAUUUAAUGUCAAUCUGUAUGCUAGAUUACUUUAAAGUUUAAUCUAUGCAAAAUACGCAAUAAUCAUCACAAACAUUUGGGAUGUUUUACAAUCUUACAAUAAUGACACUAAGUAAUUACAUAUGGUCGUUCAAAAACAUAUCCAUAUAUCAGAACAAAGAACCAUUAUUGUUCAAAGGUUAAAAAACAAUUUGAUAAAUGCACAUAUCUUAGCUUGCCAAUUAUGUAUCUUGUGACAAGCUAGUGUACCUUUAUGCGCCAAUGCUUACCAUAUAUCAGCAUGGCAUAACAUAAUAAGUCAACCAUGCCAGACCCCAGCCAAGAAAGGCACAUGCAUGAUAAUUUGGUGGUUACUAACUUUCAGUUAAGGGAACAAGUAGGCAUCAAAAUUCAUGUCCAACAUGAUGUCAAAUCAAUUUUGAUUCAACCAAAGCCCAGGGCCCAACCUUGUGGGUCUGUUUCAGGUCUUAAACCUUUUAUUUAAAUGCACCCUACAGGGGCCACAAACAAACUGGAUCAGCAGCACUAGAUUAUGAAAAGUUAAGUUAGACCAAGUUAUUGUAGACCCAACUCAAACAAAAAAGAAAAAGAUUUCGUGGGAUUAUCUCAACGCUCAUAAUUUAAACCAUAAUCUCAACAAAGCUGGAUCUAAUAGAGUGAAAUCAAACUUUAUUGGAAAUUGUAAAGACAUAACAAGUGCUUUCAUAUUAUGUUAUCAAAGACUAAACAAGUUAAAACUGAUCCUAUUCAAAGUUCAUUCACAAAAUUGCUUCAAAAGCAAAUUCUUUUAGAAAGCAAAAGCAACAAAAAAAAAAGGGGGCAUAAGGUUUUUCUUCUUCUUUGUGACAAAGGUAGCCAUCUGUCUUUCCCUUUUUCCCCACUAAAUCACAGAAAUGCCCCUAUUUAAUGCUUCCCUUAUAUUCUAACUUAGAGGACUAUUGCAGCAAUUUAACCCCAUGAACAAUUCCAUAUCAAAUCUGAAAUAGAAUCAGCCAUGAGAUGCUAAGAUCAACCCAAGUUUACAAAGGCAAUGAAUCCUUUUAUAAGUCACAUUUAUGUAACAAACACGUCCCUCUAAUGCGUGAGCAAUCGCCCAUCACUCUUAGCGUUUGGUCAUAAGAGGGAGGAUGGAUGGGAUUGGAAAGAUGGAUGGCCUUCAUCCACUAUUUAGUUCAAAAAAAAAUUUACUUUUUAUUUGGUAUGAAAGAUGGAUUAGAGGAAGAAUGGAUAUAAGAGAGGAUGGAUGGAAGAAUGAUGGAUGGACCUUCCAUCCUAGGUCCAUCCAUCCUCUCAUAUGUUUGGUGAAACAUGAAAGAAAGGAUGGAUAAGAAUGAAUCCUUCCUUUGUUUGGUAUAGAAGAAAUAAAAGGGAUAAUGGAUGAUAUUCAUAUAACAUUGUUACUAAACUACCUCUUGAUUAAAAAACUAUUAUUAUUAUCAAUUUAUAAUACUUAAUUAUACUAAAGAAGUAGAGCAACGUAUAAACUUAUAAUCUUUAGAAUUUAUAAUUAUAUUAAAAAUUAUAUACAUAUAUAAUUUUAAUUUAAUUUAAUAAAUAAUUUUUAUUAUUAUAUAUUAAUUAUAUAAAUAACUAAUACAUUUAUAAUUUAACUUAAAUAGUUCAUUAAUUUUUUACAAAUAGUUAACUAAAAAUAGUAAAUAUAAAUAGAAAACAAAAGAUAAUUCUAAUUAUUUAUAAUUAUGAAAAUUAUGUACUAAAAUUAAAAUAAUUAAUAAUAAAAUUAAUAGUAUAGGAUUAAUAAUAUAGAUAAAAUAAAAAUAUAUAUAAAUAAAAUGAAUGAAAAAGUGAAAAAGUUAUAAUUUUGUCCAAAAAUUAAUAAAGGGUGACUUUGUCAAUGCGCAAAUCCAUCCCUCACAUGCUCCAUCCAUUCUUCCUUGCGUCCUCCCAAUGUAGGAGGAUAUAAAUUGGUGGCUUUAGAUGGAUGGAUAGUCCCUCUUUUUCAUUCAUCUUUCCUAAAAUUUUUUAAACCAAAUGAUAAAUGAAGGCCAUUGAUCCUUCCAACUCCAUCCAUCCUCCCUCGUAUCACCCCAACCAAACACAAAAUUAGAGAGGAUAGAUAAAAAGGAAGAAUUAUCCAUCUACCCUGCCCCACCAAUUUGCAUCCUUCCAAAAGAAUGAUGAAUAGAGAAUUUAAGGGAUAAAUUUCUGCACUGAUAACAUCAUCCCUUCUUAAUUUUCUGACAAAACUAUAAUACUUCUUCACUGUUUCAUUCAUUUUAUUUUUAUAUUUAUUUUAUCUAUACUAUUAAUCCUAUACUAUUAAAUUUUAUUACUAAUUAUUUUUACUUUAACACAAAAUUUCCAUAAUUAUAAGUAAUAAUUAGAAUUAUUUUCUAUUUAUAUUCACUAAAUUUAGUUAACUAUUGGUAUAAAAUUAAUUAAAUAUUUAAAUUAAAUUAUAAAUAAAUGUUACAUAGAUAAUUAAUAUAUAUCAAUAAAUUAAUUCAUAUAUAAUUGAUUUAUAAGAUCAUAUAUUAAAUUAAAAUUAAAUAUUUAUCUAAUAUUUAUAUAAUUAUAAAUUAUAAAAAUUAUAAGUUGAUACAUUGCCCUACUUUAAUAAUCUAAAUAAAUAUUAUAAAUUGAUAAUAAUAUUUUUUAUUAAAAGAUUGUUUAGUAAAAAUGUCAUACAAAUAUCAUCCAUCCUCCUUUUCAUUCAUCAUAUACCUAAUAAUAGAGUUUCAACAAACACAUCCAUGCUCUCCCUGAUCCAUCCUUUCUCUUCUAUCCAUCCUUCCUCGAAUUCCAUCCAUCCAUCUUCUCCCUUGUCCAUCCUUUAUCUUCUAUUCCAUCCUUCGUACCAAACAAAGGAUAAAUGCUUGAUGCAGUACUUACUGUUUCUGUAUAUGAAUUUGCAUACAAGCUAGAACUGUCUUUAUGUACUGCUAUAUAGAUGUGAUGUACAGCAGCCGACCACCAAGGCUACCUAGCUAGCCCACACAUAUAGGCAGGUGUGUAUGAUAAUCAAGGCCAUCCGGCUUCCUCCAUGUUUCCUUUCCAUCUCAGAUCAGCCACUCUGCACGUGCCUAAAGUUGUCUCUAUGAAAAUUGAUGUACCUCAAGAAGGCUGGCUAGUAAGGACAUUGAGAUUGAAAAAACUAUAACAGAAUCAAAUCAGUAAAUUAUGAAAUCAGUCAAUCCUUGCACUUAUUAUGGGAUUUGUUCAGUGAUCUGCUUCAGCUUUGAGAAUCAUGAAAAUGAUUUCACAGUAAAGAGUUUAAUGAACUGGUUUAAACAUGUCAGGUUUUAUGAUGUAUGUUUGCCCAUGCACAGGCUCUUAACAAGAAACUAAACAAAACUCUGUUUUUUAAUUUGACAACUACUGACCAGAGUUUGGUAGCACUAGAUAUAAAGCAUAGGACAUCUGGAGGAAGAAAAUUUUCAUCAAAAGUGCUAGGUGUUAUAAUAGAAGUUAUUUGCUAAAACUAUCAAUCGGCGUUGUCUGAGAUGUCAACUUGGACUCCAACACAAAGUGCCUGGCAAACCCAACAGAAACACAUUUUUUAGAGGGAAAUGACAUGAUCUUCAAAGAAACAACAAAAAGCAACCUAGACGUGAUGAAAAUAAUUCAGAGUUUCAUUCAUUAAUACAAAUAGGCACUUAAAAUACAGAAAAAAAUGCAUCAACACUGCCGAUAUACAUCAGUGCAUAAAAAACUAUAUGACAUAAAUCUCCAAAAGCAAAAAAUACAUAAAAUUCAAUAAAACUAUUGAAUCAAACCAUACAGGUAUUAAGCAACAGAACAAUGUAGUAAGAUGAAAAGAAAGAAAAAGACUUAGAAACAAGCACGAACCACUCGAAGAUGACCCUGAAUCACUACUAGAACUGCUUGAACUACUACACUUGUUGUUUCUAAAUGCUGUAUCUUUCUCUAUCACCACCGGCGGAUAGCUUGAAAUAGGAGGGUCAUUGCCACCAAUAUCCACAUCUUCAUCAGCUGGCUCAUUGCCUGCUCACAAACAACAAAGAAUAAUACAACUGUAAGGUCUGAAGUCUCUAACGCACAAGUGUAUCUUGCAUUAAAAAAAGCUUGGAGUGGAACAAGAAGUUAACCUUUGCAAGGAUGCAUUGAUGAAUUACUAAGUCCAGAUACAUUUAGAAUCUGCAAGAGAAGUUGGUGCAGAAUUAGGAACACACGGAAUAAAUACCUGAUUUAUAGAUAUUCUAAGCAAUUAAUCUCACCUCCAUUUCACAAGGCUCAGCUUUUGCUUGCUGCCCAGCUUGUCUCUCUUCCAAAUGAUCAUCUAAAAGCUUCUUUAUUUCAAACAGACUAUCCUCACUAAGAGAAUCAAUAUCAAUCUCUAUCUCAUCCUCAUUAGUUUCAUUUGCAAUGCCGGCAUGGCUCCUCAAAAAAUCAAUGAUGUGUUCUGGAAGCUCCCCAGCUUCUAGGCGCCUACCCAAAUUCUGCUUCUCCUCCUCUGUCAUCUUUAGCUUAACGGUCUGAGGCACAACAAUAUUGUGAUUAACAGGAGAUGCUUUUCUCUUCUUUGGCUGCAACAUUGGCCUGGCAGCUUCUGUUUCACUUUUAACAGCUGCAUCAGCUGCAGCCAGUUUCUUUUCAAUAGGUUUCCAUCUGGUUUCAAAGAACUUGCUCAUGACAUCUGCCAUGAAAUGUACAUCAUUACCACGUGGAUUAUAGGUCAUGGCAUUGGUGAACGUAAGCCUUACAUCUGACACAAAAUCCCGUGGGCUAGAAUAAGCACCUGAAGCUAUCUUACUCUUAAUUGUUCCCAGAUCCAUUGGAUGCUUAAUAAUUUGGAAAUAAUCUGGGAUGUUCAACUUCACCACAUCAACAGGAGUAUUAAAUACCCAUCCAUACUGGUGUGACAUCAAGCGCUUCAGAAGUGCAUCGCACUGUUUCAUCAACAUGGCAUAUGAGUUGCUAAUAGGAAGCGGCAGACCCUGCCUAGCAGAUUCGAACCUUCCCGAGUUCCCACGCUUCAACUGCGGACCAUUCUGACACACAGGAUCCUGUUUCUUCACACGCCCAUCACUGGAGGACGAGAUGACUACCCCAUUAGCACCAAUCAUGCUCUUAGAGAGUAUUUUCUUCUGAAAUAACCGAACCUGCUCAAGCUCUCCUCUCAAUCUAAUUUCCAACUCCUUCCUCUCUGAAUUAGACAGCUUCGACAGAGAAAUUACUUCCAAUGGGACAUUGAAACCAUCACAUUUUUCCAUACUUAAGCUUAUACACUUCCUUUUUGGCGCACAAGAGUCAUCUGAGUCAGCACGGCCCGAGCUACCAAACCCUUCUGACUCACCAACCGUCUCAACUGCAUGCCAGUAGUCCGGGACAAAGCCUGAAGAGCAUGCCUUUGAGAACUUCUGCGUUUUCCCCAUCAUUGGAUCAAAAAAUCACAAACUUUUCUUCAAUUCUUUACCUUGGUGCAAUGUAAAAAAAACACUUUUUCUCCAAGGGUUAAACCAUCAAAUUUUUACAUAACCACCAUGCCACAGAAUCACUUCUUCAGAACUAUAAUAAGUUAUCUCUGUACAAUAUAAAUUUCAAAACUUGUCGGCGGAUUUAUAUAAAUUCUGGACGUUGAUGGUACUCAAUUCAAAUUUCCCACCAAAAUAAGUUGUCCAAGCUCUGUCUUUCUUCUUUUCACUAGCCUUUUAUGAGUAUCACAUUGCAGACCGAAUCAAUACGCCCACCUCCAAUCAGAGGUCUAAGAUAGGGUUUUGCUCUUCAUCAGAAAAACCAAAAAGUCCGCAGCAAAACCCUAGCUUUCACCCCAAACCCCAAAACCUAAAUUAAUAAACGAAUAACACAAACCCCCUCACCCAACUCUCAAUAGAUAAAACUAAAAAACCUAACCCUAGAUCUCCUCCAGCCACAACCCUUCGCAACAAACCUAAAGCUACGAGCAGUAAUGUCCCACAAAAAUCAAAACCCUAACUCCACAAAACCACCCCUACAUGGAGAGAACGAGAAAGAGAAGCGGAGAACAAAAAGAAAGCGUCGAGGUCGGUAAAAAACAAAGAAAAAAACACGGGAAACGCUUCCAAAAUCCAAUACAAAACCUGGAUCCCUAGCCGAGGAGCCGGUCCCGCGUGAAGAGAAACACUAGAAUGGAGACCUCACUCUUUCUUCUCCUCCUCCCUCUCACCCCCGCCCCCUCUCUCUCUCUCCCGCACCUCGCUUUCGUCUCCGCCUCUUCUUCUGAGCCUCGAGAGUGGAAGAACCCGACGAAGCCGCCCCUAUCGGAAAAAUGCGGACGAUGAAAACGGCGAGCGUGGCCUCGCCCAACGCCACCCCCCGGCCCUUAUAUAGGCCCGCUGUCUCGGCGCCCGCUCAAUCCUGGCCGUCCGUUGUCGUCCGUCCCCAAAUAGCGGUGUCAAUCGGACGGUUGAUAUUCGUAUCGAUGGCGGCCCCUCCGGAUACUUUCGAAAUCAACGGCUACGAUAUCGUCGGAUUAGUUGAGAGCCAGCCCGGCCCAUUAGCCAUCUAAACAAACAAAUACUACUACGUGUUAUAAUUAACGUGCUUAUAUUGGAUUUUAUUAUUUUGUUGAAAUUUAUGAUUGUUUAGGUACUCGUUAAUAUUGAAAACUUUGUUCUCAUAUCUAAAUGUGGACCAGGAAUUCAUCAAUCUAUAGGAUCAUGUUAUUUAUCUGUUUCUACAUAAGUAUGUAUUAUGUCUCUCUUGUGGUGAUCACACUCAAACCAUGCAGAAACGCCUUUAUAAGUAUAAGUAUUGACUUGUGAGCGUGGGGAAUGACUAGCUUCUACAUUCUACUUUAGCAAAUUAUAUAUUUGAAAUCAUUGAGUAAACUUCUUUGGUUGGCUGCCAGAUUAGAUAGGAUUUUAAAUAUCACAUCAAUGUUGAGAUUUAUUAUCAAGUCAUAUUCUAUUUAGGAUUCUAUUUUUAUUUGAUCAUUAGUUUUAAUGGUUUUAGGACACUAUUUAAUUAUUUCUUAUGUGUCCUAUUUUAAAUAGGAUUUUAUUUCUAAAAUGACUCUAUUUAGUUCAAAGCUUGUGUUUUAGUGAGCUUUUGGUUUUUGAGUUCCGUUACCAGUCAAAAAUGCUAUUCAUGUUAUGUUUUAUUUAAAGGGAUAUCUGACAUCUUCUUUAUAUACAGAAGAGUGUGGAAAAGGGUGUCUGAAAAAAGAAAUGAGAGAGAUUAUUUUUGUACCUAGAGACUUUUUGGUGAGGCAUUUUUGUGAGAGGAGCUAAAUUUAUUGUUUUGGUCUUUAUCUUCUUUUGAAUAGAUUUGUUAUUUUCUCCUAUAAGGAUUGUUUUCUCACAAUCAUCUUCGUAUGUUUUUUUUGUGUUUGGUGUUUGUUUUGGAUUUGGAUCGGUACAGUCGAUCUAUUCCAAAUAAUAUGCCAUUCUACAGAGUUAUGUAUGAUUUCUCAAAAAUGGAGUGUCUUUGCUUCCUAUUGGGACGCAAUCACUACAUGUUGAAUGGUUUCUUUUGCUGUUCCUUUACACGCGGGGUGGAGGUUUUCUUACAAGUUACAUCCUUUCUUUUGUAAACUUGUCCACAGAUGUUUUGGGACUGGCUGCCGCCUUUUGCAUCGGAAGCUGGACAGUUUCUGUUGCAGUUAUUUAUCAACCGAGAUCCUGAGAGUGAGAGGCCUUGGCUUGUCCACAGAAUGGCAGCGAAAAUACCACACUCUGCAUAAAGUUAUGUGAGACUCCACAGAGCAUGCACCCCGGUUAUACAUCCAUGAAUGGAAUUCAGUCCUCUUUAAACUCUUUACUACAGCAUUCGUGAGACCAUGCUCUUAUGAACAAGGGGCAUGACUAGAUGGUUUCAAUAUGUCCUUCAAAUUUAAUCUCUGGAGCCAGCUUAAAAUUUGUGGCAAAAAAGAAUGCAGGUUUUUUUGGUAGCAUUCCUUGGGAGCUCCUUGAUCAUAGCAUGCACACUCCUUGAAUAAUAUGUGGAUAAUUUUCAUUGUUGUUGCUAGAGUUGAUGGCCUUGUUUUCAUCCUGAUUAAGUUGAGGGUGUCAUGACACCUGGUCUAGUAAGCCCAACGUAGUGAUCUGGCCCAGAAUAAUAGAUAACCAAGUCCUCAAGCUAGCUGGCUGAGAUGGGAAGCCAAGACUCUUUUUUGGCUUCCUUUGUUCUUGGAAAUUAUUGCUUGCUUCUUCUUUUUGGUUAAUAAAUAUUGCUCUCUCUGUUACAAAAUGCACUGAAUAUCUCUAGGUUCUUAAAAUGGAAGUCUCCCUCACUGUGGCCAAUUCUUCACAAUGCAUUUCCACUGGAUUCCUAAACAAAAAUCUUGGUUUAGGCCUGAAGUUUUGGCAAUGAGCUUAAAGUAAUCUCCAAUUGUUAGUUUUAUUUCAUCAACUAGGAUUAUAUUAUUUUUCUUUUCAAUGUCAUUGAUUUCACUAAACCAGGAUUGAGGACUUAACUGCGCCUUGGAGAAUGUGGAUUAGGUAUAAAGGCCGAAUACAAUAAACAUACGAAGUUUCCACCAAAAAAAAAUUGUAGGAAGAGGUGAAUCUGCACAGAAAUCCCAGUUUCUUGCACCGUAUGUACCACCAGUGGAACUACUUGCUUUCUUUCUGCUGCAUAAGACAUGGAUUGCUGACUUUUCACAGAUUCACAAAAGCUGUUCAGGCUUGAUCCUUUUACACCAGAAAACAAGCAAGUCCAGAAUUAUAUAGCAUAAUGAAGGAUGUGAUUUCGAACUGUUAUAAUGUAGAAUCGACGAAAGCUGAAAACAGAUCAAUACAAACACAAACCAUACUAAUAUAGUAUGAUGUCCCAUUUACAGACCAGAACAAUCACUGCAAGCAAACUAACAUCUGUUUUGGUAACAUUCCAAGAUAUCAAUGUACAAAAAGAAUGUCCCACAAUUUAGAAAGUAACUUUAGAAACAGCCAAUUUGAUGGCCUAUUCUUGGUUAUAUCGCAACAUGACAAAUGAUUUAAAGGGACGAAUGCUGCUGGUGUGCAGAAGACGUCUGACAGCUGGAGUGUUUGCUGGGGCUCAAGAGCUGCCUUGAUCUACUUUCAACAACAAAUGCCGACGAGAAAUAGGUGAAAAUUGGAAAUAGAAAAGGCUGGAGAAAAGAGGGGAACAAAUUACACUGUUUUGCAACAAAUGGCCCAUGGCCAGGUGUUCGUUGGUCGCUUUUCCAACAUAUUAAGUGAAACUUCCUGAGUACAUUGCAUAAAGAAUUGCCAUACCAAUCAAGGUAGCAUGCCCACUGAUGCAACAGAAAAACAUAAUCUACUAGGUGAGAAACCAAGUUACAAAAUGUGCCAGUGAUGCUCUGAUGGUAGGUUCUCCUUGAUUUUUUCAAGCCUCUUGAGUAUCUCUAGAAAAGAAGGCCUCUGGUUCAUAUCAGCAGCCCAACAUUGGUCUGUCAACCUACAGAAUUUGAUAACCCAAAUCUUAAACAUCAGAUGAUGCAUUGAGAAUGUUAGCCAAGCAAAAUGAUCAAAGGUUGAGGGUUGCAAAACCAGUGGUGGAAUAAAAAAAAAUCAGUAACUUGUUGUUGAAGCAUGCCUAUGCUGUUCAAUAGUCAACUUUGUACUUACUCUCUCAAUUCUUGAACAUAUCCUUUUGCUCGAAAUGUUGGACGGUGUCCUUCUGCAGCAUACUUUGCAGCUUCAUAUGGUUCAUAAUUUGAGAAUGGGGGUUCUCCUUCAAGCAUCUGCAACAGAAAAGCACAGAUCUGUCAAAAAGUAUGGAGUUUAAAUAUUUGCCGGGCAAUUGUUAUUUCCAGGGCAACUUACCUCAUAUAAUAUCAUAGCAAAAGAGAAAACAUCGACUUUCUUAUCAUAUUUCCUGUGCUUGAAUACUUCAGGAGCCAUGUAUCGAUCUUCGGUUCUCAAAAAGCAACAUGGAAAUCAGCCCAAAAUUCAUAAUAUUAUUUAAUCUGAUAAACAGGUGUAAAACUUACAGCUUCCAGUUUCUCCGGUCAUCUUGUACACAUCAUGAGAGUGCUGUACUCUGAUCAGCUUGCUCAGUCCAAAAUCUCCAACCUUCAAAUGGUCCGCAUUGGAGUUCACCAAGAGAACAUUCCUGAAGCAAAUUAAUUUCAAUCAGCUCUAUAUUCAAUCAAAACAACAGCACAUGAGAAUCACUGACUGAAGUUACCUAGGUUUUAAAUCUCGGUGGAUUAUAACAUUUGGCUCAUUAUGAAGAUAAGCCAUGCCCCUGUAGACACAUGAAGCCAAGAAAAAGUGCGUAAGAAGCCACUGUCUACAUAGGAGAUGAUGUAAGCUGUCAGCUCAACCAGAUAAACAAACAAUCCUGGGAAAUAGGAAUCUGUUUUCACAAUAUAUCAAAGGAAUACAUAACUAUUCUUGUGAAAAGACUAAGCACUCAGAUGAUCACUAGGCAAAGCUGUAUUAACAUUUUCUUUGAUAUAUUUUGGAGACAGUUUUCUCCACCUCCAAAAAGGAUGGAUAAGAAAGAAAGCAAAAAUAUCAAAGCAGAAUUGCUCUGUGAUAUGAAUAAGUCCAGAAGAUCUGCUCAUACUAUUCUUGCUUUGCACUUCCAAACAUUGCCAGAGUUGAAGCUAACACGAAAGUGUGCAUAUAAAGAGUAUAUAAGCCUAUAUAUAUAGUGGAUUUAUAUUUCAUAUUUGCUAUCGUAUGUCAUUAAAAGGAGAGUAGCACUUCUGUUCAUGCUUCAGUGAAUAUGAAAUGAAAUAGCGAAUACUAAGAAAAGAAAGUUCUAUUUACCUGGCAAUAUCUAGUGCAAAAUUAACAGCUGUCAAUGGACUAAGUGAGCCCUUUUCUUUCAAGAACUGAUGAAGAUCACCCUGAAACAAUAUAGACACAAAGCAUUGCUUCAGAACAAAGAGAAUAUUGCGCAAAUUAGUUUUAAACAGGUCGCAUCAUCCAUACCCCUCGCAGAUAUUCUGUUAUUAGCAUCAAAGGCUUCCUCUCAGUGACUGCUCCAAGGAACUGGACAAUAUUAGGAUGGCGCAACUUCACAAGUAAAUUAACCUCAUGCCUGAAAUCUUGGCUGAAUCAAGAGAGUACAAGACUAUUAAGAAUAUGCUGUUUCCAUUGGGUCAAUUUCACUGCAUGUGAUGAGAUUCCGUUGAACAAACUAAUAAAUUUCUGGUGCUUUAGUUCGACUACAUCCUCAUUCUUGGAAACAAGAGCAACAAAACUUGCAUAGUUGGAGUGAUGCCUCUAUGGCAAUUCAGAAUUUCUAAAGCUUUUAUUAUAUCAUUCCAAAAUCUGCCUAACAUUCAGAUAAAAAAUAAAUAACUUGAUCAACCUAUAUCCAAAAUUCAAUUCAACUUUACCCAUUGACACUAGCUCAACUACUAGUGUUGCUUGCAUAGUUUUCCUUUCAAUAAAAUAUAAGACAAAAACACAAAGAUAAUUCACUAUGGCUUGUUACAUCAUAAUCUAUAAGGACCUUUUAUUUCUAGCAUUACAAAGUCAAGAAGCGGGUUAAUUGCUAGGGAACAAAUGUUAGAAAGAAAAUUAGAACAGGAUGAAUAUGAAAAAACCCUUGACAAUAGAACAAUGUAGAAAAAAGAUUUUGUAUAAAUUCAGUAUAAAUUCAUAACUGAGAAUUUAUUUUUUUUCCACAAAAAGUGAAUAAUUUAGGGAAAAUUAACAAAAGAUAUGAUAUGUCUAUAUUAUUUUGGUGGAUAAUGCAAGCACAUUGAGGGUGUAUCAUAGUUGUGAAUCUGUUCUAUCACAGAUGUUUUAAAGUAUAGCAUAUAGAGCAUACUAUUAUUAAAGCAAUGGAAUAUACUAAGUUGAAUAGUGAUUCAAAAGUUGAGUAUGCAUAUCCCAAAGUAUAGAGCAUACUAUUUAGUAUGCAAGUACAUCGAGGGUGUAUCAUAGUUGUGAAUCUUUCUAUCACAAAUGUUCUAAAGUAUAGUGUAUAGAGCAUACUAUUAUUAAAGCAAUUGAAUAUACUAAGUUGAAUACUGAUUCAAUAGUUGAGUAUGCAUAUCCCAAAGCAAACAAAUUCUGCAUUUAUGCAUUUAAGUUACAAAAAGGGCCACGAAUUUAUCAGAUAAAAAUUGUGUAUAUCAGAAGAUGAAGAAAGGAAUAAAAUGCCUUACAUCACCAAUCUAUCAUCUGACAGAGAUGGAAGAAUACGUUUGACUGCCACAGGCGUUCCACGCCAAUAAGCUUUUAAAAUUUCACCAAAUGAACCCUGCAAUCGUGAGCUAUUACUACUAAAAGAAAACAAGGAUAGACUCGAAAAUUACAACAUCAUAAAGUUCCCAAAAACUAAUUUUGAUUCAAGAUAACUUGGACAACUUGUUGCUUAAUAGAUGUAUCUUAAGAGGAAAAUAAGAUUCAUGUUGGAGUAUAUGCACUAUGUUUAGAUAUCACAAUAUAAGACAAAGUUCAUUGAAAAAAUAAUUUUCCAUAGAAAAGUUUUAGCCAUUUGUGGAACAAAGUAAUCAUCCAGCCAAGCAUACAGCAGAAUCUCAAGAUUAAAAGCAACAUCAACUCCACACUCCUUAAAUGACUACUGUUAACUACAGACUACAAUUUUGGGUUCCACAAGUGCUAAUGCUUUGGGACACAGGUAUUUUGUGACUAGUUAUGACAAUUCCUUUCACUUUGACAUCAUGACAACAUCUCAUUUCAGUAGUACUUCACAUUUGGCAAAUCUGUUAUAUCAUGAUUCUUUAGGACUUCAAAUAAUUCUCGACUUAUGAAAUCUCAAAUAUCGUUUUUUGAAAAUCACAUUUUGGUGAAAUGAUGUAAGGUCGGUGUUCCUACAUGGAGCUUUAAGCAUAUAAACAAAUAGCAAAUAUCAAUAGCUCACACAAAGGCAGGCAAACAUACAGUGUACAACGAAUAUUUCUUCCAAAUUCCCACUUCAGUUUGAGCUUUUAGCAAGGCCAUUUAUGAUCAUGAUCAUAAUGGUGAGCUACAAAUUUAAUUGGACCUUCAACCGAGAUUUUAAAUCCCCUGGGACAAAGAUGUCCCGGUUCUCCAUGGAACGGGAUGCCCCACUAUACUGUUCUGUCCCGCCAGCAGUUCCGAUCAUGCAUCCCAACAGAUAUCCUCCAUUUUUCUCCAAUUCUUCUUUUUCUUCUUCUUUCUUUUCUUUCUUUUUCUCUACUUUCCUUUCCUUUUUCUUUCUUUUUCUUCUCCCUUCCCUUCUUUUUUCAUUUUUCUUCUUCUUUCCUUUUCAUUUCUCCCUUUUCUUCAUCUUUCCUUCAUUUUCUCCUUUCCUCUUUCUUCUUCUCUCACUGCAAGUAUGGAUUUCAGAGUCCUGAGUCCGUCCCGAUCCCGUUUUCUCAUAGGAACGGGAGGAAUGGCCGGGACGCCCUCCGUCCCGCCAAGACGUAAAACCUUGCCUUCAACAUUUGGUCCUUUAUUCUUCUGUUUUUGCUUUAUUGCACUCAUUUCAAGCUCAAGCUUCCUAGUCACAUCCACAUUUGAUGGUUGCUAAAGAACUAGUGGAUUUCUUUCUGCAUCAACAUGCCCUUUGUUUUGGUUGCUUGACCAGAAGAAAUUUCAGAUAUAACAACUGCAUGGUUUGGAAUUCCGCAAGGUUGUGAUUCGAAGAAUGACUUAGUUGAUAUCAAGCUCCAAAUAGAUUUGAAGUUCCAAAUGUAAAAUGAUAAACAUGAUGACAUCUCAAGGUUUUAUAUUAAGCAUCUUCUAUGGACCUAGAAGUCCAGGCCUGCGGUGAUUAAUACAUAAUACUAGGGAGACAAUAUGCAGAGGACAUACAAGAGUAAACUGACACAUUCAAAUUCAACAGCAAAAAUGUGCUCUCAAGUAGCAGAAAAGUUGAGAAAUGCAGGUUAAGCCGUUUGCAAAGACAAGUUCUUAGCCUUUAUGAUCGACAACUACACAUAUAAUUCUGGGCAAUAAAAAGUUAGAGAUACUGCUUAAUAGCUAAUAACAAGCUUCUAGUAGUCAAUUGAUUCAGAAAGGUAAAGGGAACUUGAAACCUUCAAAACAUUUCAGGCUCUAGGUUUUCUGUUUCAUCCAACCAAUCUGAAAUCUGAAUAAUAAAUUAAUGUACAAGAUUUAUUAACCUGUACAUGAUGAAAUAUCAGAAACAUUAAUAGCAGAGAAGAACCUUUCCAAUUAUGCUUGAAGUCGAGAAAUCCAACUCGGAGGGUUCUAUUUCCCAGUCACACUUGUUAGGAAGAGGAGGUGGAACAGGCUUCGGUUCAAAAUGGCUGCCAUUUUGUCCCUGCAGUACAUAUACAGGUAAAAAAAGCUGAUUAUAAAAGAUUAAACAAUAAAGAGAAUUAAACAAUAUACUACCGCAAAAGGAAUGCAAACGUCAUGAAAUCAUCAUAUAACAAUAUGUACUUGAGCAUCAUGGAUGGAGGAGCCAGUAGCUUUCUUUGGUCUGAGAUAAUGAAAGCAAAUGAACUAUAUAUUCAACAAACUAGUUUGGAGUUGCUAAAGUUACUAUUGCAGUUAUCUGUAUUGUAGAGACUGUACAUAUGUGCAAAACCAUUGAACAACUGAAUCACCUGUACAAACGUUGAACCCCAUCAUUGAAUUAUAUAUGGUAAGAAGCACUUCCAAAACUACCUUCCCCAGUUACAUAAUAACUGACCUGCAAUCUCUUGCAUGAUUCUUUAACAAUACAUUUGAAUAUUUACCAUGAAACAACAAAUGUUCCUUUCCCUGUCUCUGCCCUUGGAUUUAAUUACUACCUUAAACAGAUUUUUUCACAAACCUUCACCUGAAUGCAGUAACUUUUUUCUGGUGAUUGACAGUCCUUUACAGAACUGAAAAAGCAAUGAAGGUUUGAUCAAAUUUUCCUCAAGGACCAUAACUUCAUCAUUAAAUGAUCAAAGAUUCAUAUGAACUUCGUUUCCUUCUCUACUUUAUUAUGUAUUUGCAUCAUAAUACAAUAUAUUUUCGUAAACUAUAAACAGUGCCACCCACAAUGAUUUAAAAUAAUUAAACUACCUAGCAGGUAAAAAUUGUAUAUCAAGUCACUUAUAUGAGGAUUUUUUUUUAGGUUCAUCGGAAUUUGAGAUGGUGCAAACAAUGGUGGGGGUGCAGUUUCUUACUGAAAAGUUAAAACACACCUGCACAAGCUCAGGCCCUCUCAAAAACCAUGUUUCCUUGGUCAACCCCUCUCCCCGGGGUUUUGAAGAUCAACUUUGAGUCUUUUGAGGUAGCUGGGGUGGGUUACUUAGUCCCAGACCACCAAGGCAAGGUUCAUGCAGUUGGAGCUUGCUCAUUUUUGUGUAUGACAAUCUCUAUGGCUGAAUUGUGUGCCACGUGCGGCUAUGAAGUUGACAAUAUCACAACUAUGACCCCUCAGACUUUCGUGGGAGGGAGACUCUCUCAUGAUGGUUAAAUGGAUCCAAUGCAGCCAACUUCCAUUGCACAGACCCACCCAUGUACUCUUGAUAUAUGGCACAUGGUGUCGCAGCUACAGGAGUUUUGGGUUCCACACAUUUUCAGACAAGCCAACCAACCAGCCAAUUUUUGGCUUUGCUGCACAGAAUGGGGGUUGUUGGUUGUGGCCUGAGACCCUCUCUAGACAACUUAAUGAUUUUGUAUACGUGGAUAACUCUGCCUGUGUGUGUGUGUGUGUGUGUGUGUGUAGUAUAUAUAUAUAUAUAUAUAUAUAUAUAUAUAUAUAUUANNNNNNNNNNNNNNNNNNNNUUAAGUAUGAAACAGCCCAUAAGAUCAAAAUACAAAAUAUCCCGCAAGGCCAGCAGGCAAGUGUCACCCUAUUAGAAUCAAAUAAAUACAUUACUCUGCUCCCCACUUCACCCUGCCUCCCAAAAAAAAAAAAAAAAAGAAACAUGCACAACAUUGCACUCUCAACACAACCAUACUUCUAACUUCUAAGGUUGCAUUCUUACACCAACAUGCAAAUGUUAGACCUGUUCGAAUUUACAGAAACUUGUUUUGGUCCUUCUAUCAUCUUAAUCAUAUUGCAAACUUGAUGACAACUUAGCUCCAUCUAUCACACCUUGCCAUCUUCACUCCUAGUCUAUCCAACUCUACAGGAAUAUAUGAGGAUUGCUGAUGUAGAGUUGAUCUAAAGCAAUCAAUCUACAAUUGCAUGAAUCUGAAAUUGACUUUAGAUAUGAGAAGGAAAGAUGAUAAUUUCUGGAUCUUCUUUGAUUUCUGAAGUCUAAGUCGAUUCCAUAACAAGAGCUGCGAUCCACAACCUAAGAUCGAUGCACCAAUCUUGUAAAAAGAAGAGAAAAAUGAGAAGUAUGAAUUAAUUUUCUAUGAAUAACAUUCAGCAUUACAGCAGAGACCCCUUUUAAAACCCUAUAACAUCUCUCAAACUUUCAUUAAGCUUGAAGCAAUCAAAGGACUCUUUCCUUAUUUUUUCCUAAAAUGAAAAAGGAAACAAAGAAAUGGAGUGAUGCUAUAUGGAACUUAUUUCAUACACAUAAAAGUCCCCUUUUCCAUGUGGUGCAACGGGAUUAGCACAACUCACAAGAAUUGGUCUGACAAAAGCGGGGGUGGUUAAAAGUUGAGUUGCCAUACCAGCCACAUGUGAGCCCAAGAAACUUAUCAUGUGCACUAACAAGUGCCCUAAAGCAUUUACCUAAAAGAAGAAAGCUCAUUUUAGACUCACAGCCAAAAGGGAAGGCCAAUUAGACGUUUACCUCCCAUAACCAGCCCUAAGAAAUAAUCAUCUGGCCAAGGUUUUGAAUCCUAUGAGAUGGGGCUGUUUGGUUUUCCCAUAGAACAAGAUGCACCGCCAUCCCAUCCUAUCCUAACACUCGGGAUAAGUAAUGUCCCAAGACGUGCCAAUCAGGACAUGGGGAUGAUGGCAAGAUGGUCCCGCCCUAACAUAUGGGAUGGUACCCCAUUUUUAUGUCUUAUGGGACAUCCGGCCGAAACUUGAAUCCGUGCAUCCAACCCCUUCUUGCACCCAAAGAGUAGUGGAAACACCACAUAAUACAGAUGACCCACUUAGGGCUUCCUAUAGGUCAACCAAUCCUUUACUGGCGCUCAUAUUGCUAACUUGGAACUAUGACUAAAAAAUUGGAUCAAUAUAGAUUCAAUAGACCAUCCAAAGAAUCUAAUCUUGGGCUUUAAUCACCCAAAUAGACAAUAUUUACAAAAAAAUCUCCUUGACUUAUGAUAUGUUUUCUGUAUGACAAUCAAUGAAAAUAGAAGCAAAUGCUGAGCAUUAGAAAAAGGCAAUACAAAAACAAGCCAAAUGACUAUUUAUUACUUGAGAAGCUUCAAACAGCUGAAAAGAAUAUACUUGAUAAAGUAUACAGAAAAUUUUAAACAAAAAGUGAAGUGAUAUGGGAGAGACACAUCAUAUACAAUAGGAAAGAGAGGUAAGAUGUGAUUUAGUAAUCAAUGUAACUAAGUUUCAGGCCAGGUUCUCCCAGCCAAAAAUGAACUCACAUAAUAGCCAUAUGCCACCUAACACAGAACUUUGUUUCAAGAGCAAACAGACCACAAUUUCGUUAGUAACAACACUUAAUAAGUAUAUGCUAUCUAGACAUCAAUUCCUCCAUUGCAGAAGAAACUACAAAGGCCUUUAAUAAUAGUAUCAAGGUUAAUUACUGUAGGAGUUAUAGUAUACAUGUAUGCAGUGAUGUAAGAAUAAUCGGUCUUCAAUACGGUCCAAAAUGACAAGAGAACUUACAAAAGACAAGCCUCCAUAUGAUUUUAACAGCUCAAUCAUGUUGUGCUUUUUAGCUCCUUCAGCAUCAGCCAGUGGCUGUGAAGAACAAAUUAAAAUUUACCGCAUGAGACACAUAUAGGCAAUUUAAAAAUUAAUACUGCAUAACUGUAAAUGAAGAUCAUUGGAAGCUUUUCUAAAACAACAGUCAAGACACAUCCAAAAAAGUAGAAAUCGAGCAUCAAAUAUAACGACUUUCAAUUUGUAUGCAUGCAUAUGGAGAAUGGUCAAAAGCAGCAUGUAUUUCUUGAAUAUGAAAAUCAGGAAGAAUCUUUGUUUGGUUACUAUGAAGCACAAGGAAUUAAUACAUGGAGAACUUUUGUGGUGUCUUCUCCCCCCCCCCCCCCCCCCCAAAAAAAAAAAUUGAAGAUAAAUGUUCUUAUUCUUAAAUGCAUUUCAUUUAAAUUUCAAUAAUUAUAGUAAUUGAAUUUACUGUUCCUUUCGCUUAACAUAAAAAUGAUCUAGAUUUAAAACUUGCCUUUAAACUGAAUGUCUAUUGAUUAGUUACUUGCUAAUCUACAAGUCAAACAGAAGCAAAUUCUACCCAAAAAGAAAGAAAGAAAGGAAAAAAAAAAAAUCUCCAUCCGUUAUUUUUGCAAAAUUUAGACCUAGACUUCUCACUUAAUAAUCACUCGUUUACCAUGUAAGAAUACUGAUAAAUAAGAAGAAAAAUUUAUGACAUUUUUAUUGCAGGAGGACAAGCAAGCAAAAUGAAUUCAAUUCUUGAUGUAUACUAAUCAUGCCUGUGAUUCUACUGAUAUCGGAAUGCAUUAUGCCUUAAAAUUGACUGGCCAAUUCACAGCUCUCUGCCCAAAACCAUCUAAUGAGAGACCAAAAGCAAUAGAAUUCUAUUCCAUUACAAGAUGAUGAAUCCAAUGGAGCAAAAGCAUCGAUGAAGACCAGAGAUAAUGACGAGAAUGACCGACCGUGUUCUUCCAACGAUCCUGGGCAUUGACGUCGGCGCCGAAUUCAAGGAGGCACUUGGCGACGUCGAUCCAGCCGUGGAGGGAGGCGACGUGGAGCGGGGUGCGGUGGUCGUAGUCGCGGGCGUUGACGAGGCCGGGGUCUUCCUCCAGGAGCUUCCGCACCGCCGACGCGUCGUUCUGGUGGGUGUGCCACAGGAUCAGCGACGUCCGGCUCACCCUCGCCUUCUCCCUCUCCUUCGCCGCCGCCGACCCGCUCGCCCCCUCCCCGCCGCUGCUCAUCUCUCUCCCUCCCGUAGCGUAUCGGAAUCGGAUCGAUCGCGGAUCGUAUCCUACUGCUACUUUCUCGACGUCACAGUCCUCUAAUCUCUCUACCCUUCUCUUGGGCCUCGAGGACGUGCCUCGGGACCCGGUCCGCGGAUCUAGAUCUCAACCCAGACUAGGUGCUCACGCUUCGUUACGGUUUGACAAGGGCAGCGGGUUGUCGGCAAACGGCGACGUGGGAUUACGAGUCACAUUCCGUUUAAUAUUCCUCAAUGCUGGGGGAGUAUUUGACUUCUCAUAUUCGGAAUGCACAUAUGUGAUGUGAUUGUGUAUAUAUGUAUGUUAUGCUGAAAAGAAAAUUGGACAAGUUGGGCCUUGGAUAAGUGGCUUUUGUUUGUGAUGUUAUUGCCUAGAUUUUUUUUUUUCAACAUAAAUUUGUGUCACAAUCUAAUUGUCAUUUUCUCCUUUGAAUAGUCCUUAUCUGAUUCCAUACUUUCUUUUACUUUUCUAACUUUGUAUAACAUGCUUUUGAUUUAAUCUUAUCUGGAAUGUAACUAUUCUUUCUAUUUUACAAUAAUAAAAUAGAUAUAUUUUUUAUUAUUAAAAAAUUAUUGAAUUAUUUUUUUGAAUAAUUUUGUAAAAUAUUUUCAAUAAAAAAAAUGAUCAAAAAUUCUUCUAAUAUUAUUCAUUGAUUUUACUGCUUAUUCAUGAAUCAUUCAAGACAUUAAUGUACAUUUCAAAUAAUGAUGUAUGUGUUACCAUUUUUUUUGAAAUCUUUUUAUGUAUAUAUCUUUUUAAUAAAAUUUACAUAAAUAUUUUUUCAAAAUUAAUAUAUAUAUAUUUUUAUAAAAUAUUUAUUUUAUAUAUAUAAUCUCUAUUUCUUUUUUUUAUACGUACCCAAGUCAUCUUAGUAAUUUAAAAUUAAAAUAAUUAAAAUAUUUUUAAUAAAUAAAUAUGCCAUUAUAAGAUAUAUAUGUAAACAGCAAGACAUCAAUUUAUAAAAAAAUAUUUACGCAGAUUUAAUAUUUAAAAGGAUAUGUGAAAAAAAAAAAAAAACCCUUUUUUUAACUAUAUGUCUCCUUCCAUUUCUUCCAUGUCUAAACGAGAGCUUGUGUGCAAGACUCUUGACGUCGACAUCGACAAACAGUUCGCAAUCCAGGAAUCCGCUCGGAAUUUGACGUCCAAAAAGCUCAAAGCUCGCACGAGGCCAUGCCUUUUUAUCGCCGGCAGCGGCCGCCCAUUCGCUGGAAAAAGGUUCUCCAAAAGGAGCAGCACUGCGGAAUACUUCGGGGACAAGCAAAGCAACUCGACGGGGGAGAUGAUAUCCAUGGAGGCGGAGCCGGAUAGCGUAUACCGUAGCCGAGCCUGCAUAUUAGAUAGAGAUGGAGGCAGGAGAUGGAAGAGAAGCGAUAGCGUUCUUCGACGUGGAGACGACGGUGCCGGGGCCGUGGGGUGGGACACGACGUUCGCUGCUGGAGUUCGGGGCGAUCUUGGUGUGCCCGCGGCAGCUUGUGGAGGUGGGAAGCUACUCCACCCUCAUCCGCCCGGCCGACUCCUCCGCCACCUCCGUCCGCUGCAACGGCAUCAACCCGGAGACGGUGGCCUCUGCGCCCUCCUUCCCCGAGGUCGCCGACCAGAUCUUCGCCAUCCUCCAUGGUAUCCCUUUAUGUUCUGCUUUUCUUGCUCGAAAGUGUUGGGCUUUUGUUGCUGGUUCUUUUGUCGAACAUUUGAUGGGCAGGACGGGUGUGGGCGGGGCACAACAUCGUGGAGUUCGACUGUCGGGUGAUAAGGGAGGCGUUUGCGGAGACUGGGCGAGCUCCGCCGGAGCCCAAGGGGAUCAUUGACACCUUACCGUUGCUGACCCAGACGUUUCGGAGGAGGGCGGGCGACAUGAAGGUAAGGGGAAAUGGGCUUAUGGUGCUUCCGCACGCUCGAAAAGUGCCUCCUUGGUUGCCUUGAGUGAGACAUCCAACAAUGCUUCUCCCACUGUAUCACAGCUAGUAAACUAAGUUAACAUUUCGAAUUUGGAUGGAAAGAAGGAUUUUUUUUUUUUUUUUUUGAAAAUUGGUCUUUUGAACAGGCUUUGGGAGACUUCAUUCCAUAUUUGAAUCUCUAUUAUAUAAUACAAAAGACUUGGGUGAAUGCACAAUCCUGAAAGUGAGGGGCUUAGUACUGCUUUUGAUUCAACCUGCUGUUCUAGAUAACCAGGAGCAAAUUUUAAUAGAUUCUUAGUUCCUUAUGAAGAAAUGUCAUCAGAAUUAAAGAAAAAAUUGACUGAUUGACAAACAAACAUUUUGUCUGCAGUUGGCUAAUUUGGCAUGUUAUUUUGGUCUCGGCCAACAGAAGCACAGGUAUGCUCUAGCACAGAUAUGACUUCAAUGUAUACAUUUGCACUAUCUGAAACAAAUGUUUACCUUGUGUUCCAUUGAUUAUUUGGUGUCAUUUCUUGAAUCACGACACUGUUGACUUUAAAGUCUUGUCUAACUUGGUCUAUCAAAAGAAAACAGGAAAGGGAACUUUCUUGCUGCAGCUAGAUAGAUGAUGAAUGAAGUGGUGAGAUGCUUUCAUUGCGUAUGAUCAAGAUAUGCCUUCAUUACUUGAACUAUUAUAAUUAUCAGAAACGUUAAGGUAUGCACUGAUGUGGCUUAGAAUAAGUGCAAGCUUGUAGAAUGAGGGUAAACGGAAUUAGAAUUAUGGUACGGAUAAAUGCUAAAGCCAUGAGGGAUAGGUUUUGUUGGCAUCUGCCAUGUGGCAUAACAAUUGCACUGAGGAUGGAUUAGUGGAAAAUCAAGUAAAAUUUUGAGCAUGUGGCUGUUGCUUCAAAGAAGCUCCACAGAGGACAGUGGAUCUAAUACAUGAUGUGCAAGUGGUUGGGAUACUGCAUAGCACCUAGGCAGUUUGCGGGUGCCUAGGUGGAGGAGGUGAAGGAGGAAAAGGAGGAUCAAGGGAAAGAAGAAUGAGGGGAAAAGGUGGAGGAGGUUGGAAGGAGAAUGGAAAGAAAACAAGGUGCAGCAGGUGGAAGGAGAGAUUUAAUUAGGAAGGUUUAACAUGGAACCCAAGCACUUCUAGGAUUUAAAUGAGAUAAACUUCGAAAGCAAAAGGUGGAGAUGAGCUGCUUGUACAAUGCAACCUUUUUAAGGUUGUCAGAAUUAUAAACUCUUCAUUUCUCUUUCCACUAAAUCUAUUAUAGUCUAUUGACAAUGCAACUUGCUACUACUUUUCCUGGUUGUAGUCAUUUUUACAAAUUUUUUCCCCUUGGAUUUGCUAUUGUUUAUUUCCUUUGAAUUUAUAUGGAGCACUUGUUUUUGACUUUUGUAUCAUUCAACCUCCCCCCCCUCUUCUUCUCUAGUUGUCAAAUUAUCCAUAUAAGUUCAUUUUUAUUAAGGUAACUACAGAAAAUCUACGAGACAGAGCAUCAUGUUUCUUUCCAGACAACAUUGUCUGCAUUAGAAUUUCCAUUUAUAUGGGUCAAGCUAACUGUUAUAACCUGAAGAAGUUUGAUUAUAAUUUAUGAGCUGCUGUCAACCUGGUGUCAUCCCUUUGAGAAACAUUGCCAAAUUUUUGAUCAAGGCAACUGGCAGGAAAAGGGCCUGCCAUGAAACCUGUAAGACUAGUUGAUGUAUAUGAAUAUUAAUGCAUAAUAGUUUCCAUGUGUGUCUCCAUACAUGUGUGUACAUCAUUUAUACAAGUUGUAUUGGUUCAUUUGUUAUGAACUUCUAUGUCUUUUGACUCAAUUUCAGGCAAUUUGUUUUACUAUAAUCCUAAAAUGUUAGUUUUCUAUUUGAUCUUUCUCUCCAGGAGCUUAGAUGAUGUCCGAAUGAAUAUCGAAGUUCUCAAGUGCUGUGCUACAGUGUUGUUCUUGGUAAGCAUAAAACCUUUUAAAAAUAUUGCAGUCUUUCCUCAAGGAAUGAUUUGAAGUUUGCGAGAGGUUUCUUGCAUUGAUCUCCACUUGUUGGAGCUAUUCUGUCGGAAUCUUAGGAACCAUAUGAGAUUCUUUUUAAAUAUAAAUUGGCAAUUGAAUAAAAAUAUAUGUUCUAAGAAUGUUCAUGAAUGACACAAUGUCAGCUAGAAGUUUGUUGAAUGAUUCUCCAUGUACAGGAGCUACUCUUUCUGAAUCUUGAGAUUUGCAAAGUUCCCUCUUUUUUCCCCUACUAAACAAAUUUGGGAAUGAUAUAGGAACUAAUAAUAUUCCUCACUUCUCUUUCAUCUCCAUUAUCAUAAGGCUCUCUCAAUUGCCCUUAUUUUGGAUGAAAGCUGUAUUAUUGUUUAUGCUAUGCGCAUGCUGAAUUCUUGUAGAACUCCAAAUGAAAAUUAAUCUCAACUCUCCUAGUAAAUACUAUGUCCUAGCUAACCGGAAUUCAAACUCCCUUUUCAAGGAGUCUUAAAUCUAUUAAGAUUCUCUUCUUAAUUUUCAUUUUUAAACAUAAUCAAAAUUGUGUAAAGUAAUUUACAUCGUAAAUUGCAACUUUUUGAAUUAUAUCUUGAAGAUCAAAGAAAGUAUAGAAAAGUGUUUUUUGCAUGUAAACGCUCAUGAAUGUCUGAUUUUGUCCAGAGACCUUUCCAAAAACACUAUUUGCUGGUAUACCCUUUAAAACCCUCUCUAUUUGCAUGCCUGCAUGUGCAGUUAGCCUGCUGUCCAACAUUGUUAGAAACUAGUUAUUUAACAAUAAAGAGUCAAGAUGCCCCUGACCCAACAGUAAAAAGGUUGAGUGAAUCAACAUUUUAGACCAAGGGCAAGACAAUCAUGUUGCAAGACUAGUUAAAUUUUAACUCUGUGAAACCCUAGUUAAGCUGACACAAUCAAUGGCCCAUGACAGCAUAUACAUGCGAAUAGAAAGGUUUUGAAGCAUGUAUCCACAAAUAGUUUUUUUGGAAAUGUGUCCAUGCAAAAUUGGAUAUUCAUGAGGACAUACAUGCACAAGACACUAAAAGAUUAUUGACAUUGGCAUGAUUCUAGUGUCAAUGGUCAACAGUGCUUUUAGGUAAUGCAAUCAUUAUUUCCAUCAUGAUGGCUGUUAUAAAACAAACUACCUCCACAUCAGCAUUGUAUCUGAUCAUCCAAGCAAUUCUUAGGGAGUGGUUUGCCCAUUGUUUUAUUAUUUUUUUUGCUUUAACCUUUUGGUUUGUAAUAUUGCAUCUAAGAAUAUGUGUCAUUUAUAUCAUCUUUUUAUGAUCUAGACCUGUUUUCUUUAAAGCACAUGAUAGACAAAAUGAUUUGGAUGAUUGUAAGAUAUAAUCUCUCUCUCUCUCUCCUCCCCUCCUAACCCNNNNNNNNNNNNNNNNNNNNCUCUCUCUCUCUCUCUCUCUCUCUCUCUCUCUCUCUCCCCGGGAUGGCUUUAAUGUUCUUAAGGCAAAAUUGAAGUGGCUAUUGCUAAAAAUUUGUGGCUGGCCAUUCAAAUGGAUGAUCUACACUGUUUGUAAAUUUUUACAUCAUGCAAAUUUAGAAAUUAAAACUUUAAAUCAAAUUUUCUAAAACUUUUUUUCUUGUGCGUUAAUAGUGACCAAUGGAUUGUUCUCAAAUAACAAGAUAAAUUAUUUGUUUUGUUCCUUGAUUGGAAAAUAUUUAAACCACUUUAAUUUGGUCCAUAUGUUCUAAGAUAUUAUUGGAUUCUGAUGAACAAUGCGGAUCAUUUAUUUAAAAAUCCCCAAUUUGUAUAUUUGCACCUAGGCAUGAGCACUAGUUUUGCUCUGGGAACAUUAAAACUGUCUUCCUGUCUUCUCCUUUACUGGUCACUUCUGUCUUCUUGAUGAAUUUCAAUUUUGUUGAAGCAUGUGUCUCAUACAAAUGCAUGACCGAGACAUUUGUUUAUGGGUAUAUUCCGCUGACUUCUGAAGUUCCUGCAGGAAACAAGUUUCCCGGAUUUAUUUUCUAUCAAGUCACCUGGGAUGUCCUGCACCAUUAUUCCUGCUUCUGAGGGCUGCAGCAGUUUUGCUGGAUUUCUAGAGCCUGAUGAAGUCUCAGUGCAGGAUAUCAGGGCAGCCAUUGCCCCUUCUGGUUAUGGUGGUCACAAAUUACGUAUACUACAUGGAGAUUGCCCGCUACGGCUUCAUUGCAUGGGACUGAAAGUCCAAUUUGGGCCACGUGGACAAUUUAAGGACCAUGCUGGCUGGCCGAAACUGAAUAUAGUGGUUUAUAUCCCAGAAAGUUUAUGCAAGGUUUUGGAUGCCUGUGACCUUCUUGCCCAAAUAUCAUCUCAGAAUUCUAGUAGCAGGUCUGACUGGAAACAUGUAAUUAUGAAGAAUGGCUACUCAAAUCCUUAUAGCAUUCGAUUGCAGUAAGUUUCUGUGAUUUUUUGGAUCUUAUCGUUUUUUCACCUUUUUCUUUCUAACAUAAAGUGGUGAUACAAGAAAGCUGCUGGAUAACUGAUCUCUCUCUCUNNNNNNNNNNNNNNNNNNNNNNNNNNNNNNNNNNNNNNNNNNNNNNNNNNNNNNNNNNNNNNNNNNNNNNNNNNNNNNNNNNNNNNNNNNNNNNNNNNNNNNNNNNNNNNNNNNNNNNNNNNNNNNNNNNNNNNNNNNNNNNNNNNNNNNNNNNNNNNNNNNNNNNNNNNNNNNNNNNNNNNNNNNNNNNNNNNNNNNNNNNNNNNNNNNNNNNNNNNNNNNNNNNNNNNNNNNNNNNNNNNNNNNNNNNNNAUAUAUAUAUAUAUAUAUAUUAUGUAUUUUCAGCAUGUCAUCCAAGUACUCCUGCUCUAGGCUAAACAAGUUGUCCAAGCAUAUUGUAAUUUCAAAACCAGCAAACCUAGCAUUUUCCCUUUUUUCAGUCCAUACCAACCACAUGAAAAAGCCAGCGGAAGCAUGUACUGUACUGCAACUCAAGAUGUUGGGCAUCUAAAUACCGUUGUGCUGUUAUUGCAUCUAUUCAUUUCUGCUAAACAGUGCUUUGUUUCUCCAUGCUUUGUCAAUUGUGUGGGAUUGCAUGUGAUUAUAACGUCUAGUUCUCCUAUCCUGUUAUUUUGAUUAUUGUUAUUUUUUUGACACUAAUAGGAGUUGUUGAUUUGUCUAUUGUUGUCUCUUUAUAGCAUACCCAUAGUGGCAAAUGGUGAUGCUGCUAUCUACUCAACGGAAAUAUACAAGAAAGAUCUGUCUGGAAACAAGCAGAAGCUCGUGUUCACCACAUGUGACGUUGUCGAGCUUGCUUCCCUAAUUGUUCCAGGAACAAGUCUAGAUGCCUAUUUCUGGGUGGAUACAUAUGACCAUCUGCAGAGAGCUGGAAUCAGGCUAGAAGCGAAAAAAUUGAUCCUUUGUUCUCAAUAGAAGCAAAAAAUUAUUUGAGUGGCAGGAGGAAGAAAAAAAAAAUCAUGUCCUGAUUAGUGUUCUUAGCAGAAACUAUGUAAAUUACUCUAGCAACCACUAGCCAAUGAUGCCAUUAAUGUAACAGCAGACACUGUAUCCAUCGAGAAUGAAAAGGUAAAUCUGUUGAAUUAAUUUCUGCUUAAGAGAUCCAUACCAAUUUUUUGAUUCCUAGAUUUCUCUAUGAUUGCUUACAUAUACAUUAAGUACUCAAGCUUGCUUGUUGGUACUGAUGAUAAAAUAUAAAUAGCUAAUUCUUAUUAUCAGAUCAAACAAGAGUUAACAUAAACAUACUGAAAGAAAAUGUUUGUGUUAAAUAUAUAUGGCCAGACAGGAAAACUCUGUUGAAAAACUUGAGCCCUCGUAGCAAGUAAACUUUGCAACCAAAACCCAAUCAACAGAUCAGCUUUUACUCUCAGAAAAUGUUUGUGUUAAAUAUAUACGGCCAGAGAGGAUAACUCUGUUGAAAAACUUGGGCCCUUGAAGCAAGUAAACUUUGCAACCAAAACCCAAUCAACAGAUCAGCUUUUACCCCAUCUUUAAACUCUUUUCUCUUUCUGUAGCCAAUUCGGUACAAAAUAAAGACCUAUCUUUCAUUUCAAUGCACUUAACAUAUCAACAGAUAAAUAAAAUAUUACAAAAAAUUAGCUUGUUUAAUUAUACAACAUUUUACACAAGAUCCUGGUCUUCCAGAGACCACUUUCAAGCUCUUAAAUUUUGCUCUAGGCUUUUUGACAAUGGAGGUGUCCUGCAGAACAAAACAGCAAGCGCCUUCACCUGGUGACAGAUAUCAAAGACCUGUAGAUAAACAUGGAAAUGCGUUAGGGUCCAAUCAAACAAUUGCAAAACUUGUAUGUGAAAUUCUUACCGAUGAGGCCUCUAGUUCUGCAAUGCCUUCACAACCUUGACCUCCUCCUUGUAGCAGGUCACAGCAUCUCAUGGCAUCAUUCUCAUCAUCAAGCACCUCAAGAAAGCAGUUUCAGUCAGUAGCAUCUGGCACAAUAGGAACAGCAAUUUAUACUGCACCACCGGGGACAUACUAUGAACAUCAUUUGAUUGGAAAAUACAUGGAAUGCAGAUUUUAUUAUUUCAAUAGUUGGAACUGGGAAGAGAAUGCACAGGAUGCAUUAGACACUUGAAGUAUCCAUGAAGGCCUGGAAUGCAAGGUAACAUUACGUCAACAAACAAAUAGCCAGAUAUGUAUAACACCAUAUAUGAAUAUGAUGCUUAACAUUCAUAUGCUACCACAAGUUUAACACCCAGGGUCUAAACUAAUAACAAGGGAUGAGCAUGUUGCCUAGAAGAUUAAUUGCUAAUGAGAUUUAGAACCCAUAUGUUUGCUCCUUCAAAUGGCUUCGUCCAAGCAGAAAACUCCAAAAUAAUAUACAAAAUCCAAAUAUCCUACACUAAAAGAUCAGAAAUCCCGACAUUGCUUAUAGAAACAAAUUGCAUCAACACAGUAAACAUAGAUUUUUCAAAUGUGCUAGAAGAAGCAGUAGUAAUAAUCCAAACUCAUCAGCAAAUGCAGAAAGUCCUACGGACCCAUCCACACUAAUGCAAAGGGAAGCUAUGAUAAUUCCUUUUAUUUAUCAAAAUCAGUCAGCAAUGCAUAAUUUUUUCCCAAGUAUAUGGCGAAGUAAAUGUUUUCAAUACUUACAAGCACUCCUUCCCUGAUAUCUUCAACAAGCAUGGGAAACUUUAUGCCAACACAUGAAUGUCUAGCUUUACUGCCAUUUGCUGAACCACGCUUUCCUCCUUUGGAGAACAGCAGAUCAAGCUCCCUUUCAACUUCACUGCAUAAAGUGGUCCCUGAUAUCUUUUUUUAAAUAGCUAAGAUGCAGGAAACCAAAUCUGACAUGCGACUCCUGCGUGUUUUUAUAGUCCACAACUGGUUAUCCCUCUGAAUCAGCACAUAGACUCGUCUUGAGUCUUCCCUCCAAGGAUUGGUAUCCAAACAGGAACAAAGAGACAAAAUCUUAUACGGUGUAAAAUGUUUUAGAGACUCCAAAUUUCUGCAAAGAGAAAGCAACAUAUUGCACUUUGGAUAAUUCUAGAAUCUAAACGGGUGAAAAUGGGAGAAGAAACAAGUUCCAGUGUUCUACUUCUAUCUGAAACUGGAUAUCACAACUGUGCAAGGGUUAAACACUUAGACAAACCAAGUCAAUAGAUAUCGCAAAUGUAAAUUUUAUCUUUGAACAUAAUGAAAUACCUUAACCAACAGGGUUUAUCUGGCUAUAUGGAUCAAGAUUGAUCCAUCCAACGCUAAGAAUAUCUUACAAUUAGUUCACAGCUUGAAGCUAACCGUUUGAGUUGAGAUUAAUUUUCUAAGGAAACAUCGGACAAGAGGGGCCUCCCAAUGAACUAAAAGGCCACUUCGUAGGCAAUGCAACCAUUCUUGCUCACUGUAUGAUUUAACCCAUAUGAGUAGGAAGUAGCUCACAAAGGCUCCCCUGAACUUGUUUAUGUCAAGAAUAGGAGAAGUAGAGAUGACCUAACAUAGCAAACUGCUAUUAUCUUUGAGGCACAAAAAUUGCACACUGUUACAUGAUUCUCAGUUUAGAACAAGGAUGACAUAGAUGAUAUAAAUGAAAGCAUGUAUUUGGUCAAAUCAAUAUCUAAAAACUCAAUUACAGGUUUGAUCCUCUGGAUAGAGUUUUAGUUUUCAAAGUUUCAAAAGAUUCAGGUUUCGCUUUUAUGUUAUCCUAUACCUUUCUCAAUUUUUUAUAAUUUCCUAUACUUUUUGUUAUUUAUUACGAUUUUUCAUGUUUUCUCUAUUUUUUAUUUAACUAGCAUUCCUCUUGUAUAAUGUUAUAAGAGAGAGACGUAACGAGACAAAGCAAAAAACUACAGAUUCAUCUAUGAUCUCUUGGGAAUAGACUUUCCCUUACAUGUGUAGCCAUGCUAAUUUGUACCUUAAGAAAGCUCGAUUUUCUUUUGAACAACUGGUUUGAUUGAGCAAAUUUUAACCUUAAAAAAGAAAUAGUACUUGCAUUAUAAUCUGAUUCUAUCACUUCUAGGCCACGACAAUCUGGUCAAAAUAAACACUACGGGUGCAAAAACUCCUCUAAAAGAUGCUUCUUCUUGAGGAUCCCUCAAUAUUAUAUAUAAUUUAGCUACAACAGAAUACUCAAAACUCAAGUUAUGGCCUCCAAAAUUUAAGCUAGCACCAAAAUGCAAUACAUUUAGUACCACCUAAGAACAAAUACCGGUUCUGAUAUGAUAAGUAUAUUAAUUAGGACAUAGAAGCAUUAAAUUCUUUAUUAAUUGAUCCAUAUUAUGUAGAAUUUGAUACUUCUUAUUCUCUUUCGCAGAAAAUUGAGAGAUUAGACUAAUCAAGACUCAAAUUGAUCCAAAUCCAAAGCAAAACUCAAGAACAAAGGGUCAAGAGUAAUCAAUUGAAGGGCUAAUCAAAUAAGAAAGUAAUACAACAGCUAAGAAACAAUACUUCAUUCAACCGUCAAGAUUUAUGAUGCCAACUCAUGAAAACCCUAGAGAUACCAAAAUCCAAAGGAUAGGAAGCAAAAUAUCUAGAACCAAAGGCCAUCAAAGGAGGCCCACUUAAGAAACUUUCAACGUCCGAAUUAACUUCUUUUUUUUUUCUCUCCCUAGUUCAUGCCAACUAUGAAACCCCAUGUCCUCUCUUCUCUUAUUUUCUAGCGCACAUCCUAUUUCUCACACAACUUAAAUCCAACUCCCUAACUCCCUCCUUAUUUUUAGGAGAUGCCAACUCACAAAUCUUUCACACCUCCUUUUCUUUCUCAUGCACAAAACCAAUGCCCCUCUUCCUUUUUUUUUCUUUCACGCCUUCUUUCCUGCACCGUCCCAACAAACUUGUGCCUCUUCUCUUUUCCAACGCUCCAAAUUCCAUACCCCUUGAUCCCCAAAAUUAAUCGUAACCAUCUAUUGUUAGGGAGCCUUAUAAAUCUACUUACAAAACCCUAGCCAUACAUCCUUGCUUCUAUUAAUCCCACAUUGCCUACUCAAAUAAAUGUCAUACCUCCUAGCACCUAUAAAUAAGUUCCAAUACCUCAACGUAAAUUCAAUCAUCCAAUCUCCAGUGUUUCAGCAAGGAGGAUGAAAAGAACAAUGGCGAGUGGAAUUAACAUCAUAUGUGACUAGAAGCAUAGUCUUCGGGGGAGUAGAUAGAAUCUUUAAUUUUUCAAUCUUAUAGUUUAUUUUGAAUAUUCUUAUGUAUUUGUUUUGAUGCAAUUAAAUCCUGUAAGACUCUCUUUUGCCAUAAAAUUUUGAUUAUAUUCAUGAGUUGCUUUCAAGUUAUUAUGCUUGAAGCUUAUAUAGUUAAUUCUUGAAUAGUUUAUACAUUCGUAGGGACGGAUCGUGAUCAUAAGAUAUAAUCCGUACUCAAGCGAAAUAAGCUAUCUUAAAGAUUUACUCAUAGAUUUCUUUGUUUUCUUUUUAAGAUUUUUUAUAACUUAUUCUUUAGGAAGAUGAAUCGUGAUCGGGAGAUAAGAUUAAUACUCGAGUGAAAUAAGUUAUGUUCGAAUCUGAUCAUAAAACAUCUUAAUUAAUUAUUAUAAUUAUUUCAAAAGAAAAUAUCAAAAUUGUAGUUAAAGAUGGAAUCGAAAUCUGAAACUUUUAUUUUCAUACGAUUUUUUUUAAUUUAUUUUUUAGUUAAUUACUUCCAUAUUUAUUUCAUAAGAAUUUUUCUUAAAUUAUUCUUAUCAAAAAUAAAUCUUAGAUUUUUUAUUCUUAAACUUUGUUUUGUGUUGAAUCAACUUAGUCUUUUGAUCCCCGUGGACUCGACAUCCGACUCACACUAUUCUACUUAAUAGUUAUAUCGGAGUUAACUUUUAUCUUUGAUUGCUUGCGACAAAUGAUCAUGAUAUAAUUGAAUACAAGAUCAACUAUGUACCAAUAUUUCAGCACAAUCUUUAUCAUUGCAAUUAUCAUUCCCAUGCAGCAAAAUCCCUCACGUUAGUCACCAUCCUUAACAUGUAAACUUUUGUUGCCACUAAAUUUUUUAUGUGAUAUCCACGGACUAGAUUAUGCACAAGCUACUCACAUCAACCUACUCAUAGAUAUGGUUAGUCUCUUAAUUAUAACAGUAUCACCUCCUACCAAUGAAAGCAGUGGAGCAUAUGGACAAUCUCAUGUGCCUAGGUUUGGCACCAGGACAGCAUCACUCAUAGUGAUAUGAUUCCAAAUUAUCAAGAAACACAAAACAGAAUAGAGAAUUAGGGAGAAAAAAAGCAAUAGAACAAACUAGAUCAACCAAUCGAAGCAGCAAUUUUACAGCGAAGCACCAUCUCGAACUUGUGUCGAAGCCAAUUUGAGAUUAAAGCUAGUCUUUUUUUUCUUCCCCCUCUACCUAUUGAUUGGGUGGAUUUAAAAAAAAUAAAGGUGGAAGCAGGGGAAGAGAGAGGGAGAGAGGAAGAUACCGUCGUAGCUGACGGAAUCGGCGGUCUGCAUGAGAUUGCCGUGCACGUCGUAGGCGCGGGAGUAUGUAUGAGAUGAAAUCAAAGUCUUGAAUAUGUAUGGGACAAGAUUUUUCUUUUUUUAAUUCACGAUCAUGAUGGGCUGCUUGUGUCAAACAGCUAACAAAAACAUGAGUCUGAAUUUUUUUUUAUUUUUUUUUCAGAAAAAAGAACACUACCUUUGACGAAUUCUGCCUGAGUUUUUUGAGGGAGAUAGAUAGAGUACAUGAGCCUUGAAAGCAUAACAGCAGUUAAGCUAAAGCGAAAAAUCAAAUGAUUGUAAAUACUUCUUCACAAAAAUUAUUGAUAUGUUUAUAAUAUUUGCGUUGUGAGGGAUGAUGAUAUCCGAAACUUGAUGAUUUGAAGUCAGCCAAGAAUAGAAAAUCUUUGAAGCAAUCCUAACUAUAAUCCAUCCACCUCACAUUGGAUCCCUUUUUAUUUAAUUCUUUUUACCUCCCUGGAGAUCUGUGCAGUAAAAAACAAGGAAAAAAAGAUCAGAACGCAGAUUAAAAUAUGAGAGAGAAACAGUGCAGAUGUCAGCAAAGGGCAGACUGACCAUUGCUCUUCCGACGAUCGGUCUAUUUACCGGCAAAAUCUAUUGGACAGCAAAGUGGAGGAAGCCCAAGUCUUGUGGCACGCCACACGCGAAACGGCAAUAAAAUUGCAGCAACGGUAACGCCAAACCCCAACCCCACUUGACUGACGCUGGACUUGAUGUCAGCAGCUGCCGAUAUGGUAUAUAGAAACCAUCUACGAACUUGGAUAUUUUACUCCAAAAUCAAGUGGCCAUUGUGAACGUUUCUUUUUCAUUGCACUUUUGCAAUGUGAGAGCUUAUGGGUACCCGGCUCAUGGCUUCAUGUUUCCUUAGCCAAAUAUUUUAAUCUAUUUUUAGUAAUUAAAUAUUAUAUAUGUAUAGAUUUUUUUGAUGGCUGGAGAAGGAAUAUUGGUUUUUGGAAUCUUGGGGUUUUACAAAUCAAAGCAGAUACUACGGAAACAGGUUGGAACCAAUUGAUGCUAUAUAUUUUGAAUUCAAAUGAUAUCAUGAUGAUGUAAUAAGCAAUGUGGGGUGAAUUAUAUUAUUUUAUGUUCACAAGUAUCUCAAGCUGGUUUUUAUGGCAGUAUUGUUGAAUACCAGGAUAAAUGUUUUGGUUUUUAUUUUUUAUUUUUUUUUAAAAAAGAAGCAACCUAGAUGGGUAGAUGUAUUCUUCAAUAUUUCUCAAAAUCUUAUUAUCUAAGGGAUGAAUGUUGGCUUGAUUCGUUUAGGCGCUCGAACUGUUCUAGCCAAGUUGUUUGACUAAGCUGCACUACUCACCAAAAUCAACAUGAAAGUUGAAAACUCAUGAACUCUAAUGUUGGCAAAAAGCCCAAUGGGAGAAGACUUUAUUGUCUCUUCCUUCCUGGACCUCAUGGAUGCACACAAAGCGAAAACUAUAUAUCAUUCAUGUUUACCUCUAUCUCCACCCUCCCUUACGGUAUUGGGAUAGCAAGGAUUUGAGACAGACACCGGGGACAAAAAAAAGGGUUCAAAGAAAGAAAGGAUUGGGAUGAUAAAUUGACUAAUAAUUAAAUCUAUGACACAUGGCCGGACCACUAGAAGUUAUUUGUGUCCCAGUCUUUUUUUCCUUUCAAUUUUUUUGAAAAAUUAAUAAAUGAUGCUACCUAACCAGUUUACGGCAAAAGAUUAAGCUAUCAUGACAGUGAUGAUAAAAUUAUGGAUGGUAUUAAGUUGCCAAUCGAUCUCGGAAGUUUUAAGCUAUUAUUUGUCUCAGGCUUGACCACCUCUCUCUUCCUCCUUAAAACCCACCAUUGCCUCCUCAUAUGCUGUCCAAGAUUACCAAUUAAUAUAUGCUAACUAAUUGACCCAAAAAUUUAAAAUGUAAUGCACAUAUAUUAGGCUUAACAUGCCUCUAUCAUAUAUUAUCCAAGUUUCUAAGAUUAACAGAUAGUGUUAAACUCAUUGAUCUUAAAACCUAAGUUGUUAACCAAUUGGUCUUUAAAAGUUAGGUUGUCAUAAAAUAGAUAAUGCAAGAUUCCAAAAGGAACAAUAUGAAGGUUGGAUUAAUUACAUAAAUAAUGAGGAUAUUUGAAAUCAUAUCUUUCAACAAUCUAAGUUCUGAUACAUUAUUAACUAACCACUAGAUUACACCAAUUUAAGCUAUAAUAUGGCAUCAGUCAACAAUAUAUAAGAUUUAAUAGGUCAUAGUAUAUUAACUUAUAGAAGAAUUUGAAUUAUGGUUUUCCCCCAAAAAAAAAAAUUGCAUUAUGGUAUUUUCCUUUUGUUACUCACUAUGUGGGCUCCCCCUGAGUCUGAUGCGGACUAACUGCUCCGCCGAAUAGUGCUUAAAUUAUUUUUCUCUCAAUAAUCUAACAGUGCAAGCAAGUAGAAGACUAAACCCAAUGCGCAGCAGCCAAAUAUCUUGGAUCGAAGCAGAAACUUCGGCACAAAAACCCAUCAACCGGAUUUCCAAACUCACAUGCCUUGAUCACAUGACGAGCCUGUUAAAUACUUAAAUUAAGUUGAUGAAAACAAGCUCCGGAUGGCAGUCAAAGAUGCAUCACGUGAUUCGCUGCCUCCAUACAGUAACAAAAAAUAAAAAAAUUCUCAGAAUUCCAACAUAAAUCUACACUCCUCACCCACUCUAUGGAAGCACCGGUGUCUUCCUUCCUUUCUGCCUUUCUUCCACCUACCCCUAGUUUACUCAUGGUAAAGCUCAAAGAAGAGAGAAUGAAGGAGAUCAGAAUGGGAGUGCUCGUACUUGUUCUGAUAUUAAUGCUCUGCAUCAUGAGCUCUUCUUCACACACUGUGUGCCAUGGGAUCAAGGGCAGUAGUAGUGGAAGAGGUCGAACAGGGAGGAAGCUACUUUCUGGGGCAAUUCUAGCUCAGCAGCAGCAGGAUAUGAGGGUUGAUGGCACGGUAAAACCCGUCAACCAGGCAGUGGUGAGCUUCAGGAGGAUACCACCUUCUAACUCGAACCCCACCCAGAACAAGUAAGGCAGCUUUUACCUCCUUGUUUUUAUUCUUUCUUGGCUUCAAUCUGUUUGCGUUUCUAAGUGGAGUUGGUGAUGGUGUUAUAGGUCACGUCCUCGAGUGAAUGGCCAGGGGAACCAGUGAAUCGCAUGAAGGGGAGAGGGACUGGUGGCUUGCCGAGAGAGAGAGAGAUAGAGAGAGAGAGAGAGAGGAAGGAAGGAGUGUAGAGUUACGUUUCUUUGUUNNNNNNNNNNNNNNNNNNNNAGAGAGAGAGAGAGAUAGAGAGAGAGAGAGAGAGGAGGAAAGGAAGUGUAGAGUAGUUUCCUUUUGUUUGCUUUAUGUCUUCUGUUUCUUUGAACCUUCUGAGCUUGUAACCUUUUUCUGUGGUUUUCCGCAGUUCACUUUACAGAGGGAUGUGCGUGGAAAUUGGGUCGUACCUGCUUUCCAGCUUGCCUAGCUAGUUUUGUAGCUGUAGCACAAACAAACUUCUAUGUAUCUGAGAAAGAAAGAAGUGAAGGCUUUUUGUUCCAUUACAUUGUUCUCGUUUUCUUGUCAUUAUUGAUUCUAUUCUUCGGAAAAAACCACUAUCCAAUGCGUGCUAUGAUCUUAAAAACUUACAAAGUAUCUGAUAUAAUGUUUAUUCUUUUAUUCACUGUUAAAUGACAUCAUUGUGCCCAGUUUUAA
rnacentral:lncRNA from 1 species